rnacentral:lncRNA from 1 species
UGGAACAUAAACGACAAUGGGGCUCCUUACCUGAUGAGUGCCAUCAUCCCAAGUCAAAGGAAAAGAAACCAAGUUUGCAUUAAUGGUUCCUUGAAUCCUAAGGGUGAAGGACAACCUCUGACCCACAGAUGUGAAGGUCAAAACAUUUGGUACUGCUUGAAUGCUUAAAGAAGAUGGAUUUCCAGAUACUGUUGCCCUAUAUGUGGAUCUAGCUGAUCCAACAUUAGUAACAGUUCUACCAAAAGUGACAUUGUUUUUCUUUGAGAGAGCGGUUGAUAGAGCAAAAGAUGGGAGGUUAAGGUUGAAAACAGAUCCUCUAUUUGCUGAUGUACAAGUGUUGUUAUCUCCUGUAAUUGUUUGCAGCGUUGAUGUAUUAUAACCUUGUCCACACAAAAAAUUAACAUAAUCAUUCGGACCAGCAUCAUAAACUAGUCCAGGAUUUACUGCCUUCAAAGGAUUAAUUUGCCCCGCACCGUAAGCAAAUUCAGCAUCCGGAUUAAGUGCAGGAUUCAGAGGGGUAGCUGUAAAUGAUAAACCAACAAAUUUGGUCGUAAAAAUAUAUAUACUUGGCCAUUAAGAUAUACCAUAAAAUAAUUGAACUUAAUCUAGUUUUUCCCAACACAAAUGUACAUUAGGGUGGUAAUGCAUAAGGUUUUAGGUUAUCAUAUUUAAGGAAAUGAGUUACUCAUGAUCUCACAACAAAAAUAAAAGUUCUAUAUCUAUAUACGUGUAAAUGAAAUCAUAUGUGUGUAUUCAAAUUAAAAACCCAAACAAUAACCCAGGUGAGGAAAGAAAAGAAAGAAUUAGUUUUUUAAAUUAACCAUGAUGGGUUCUUGAAUUGAGAGAUAAGAAAAGGGCAUAAAAUGAGUUUAGCAUGCUUGGAUUGGAAUGAGACUAUUACCAGUUGUCAUUAAUGCGGAUUUAAGUACAGCAGGAGACCAGCUGGGAUGAAAAGAUUUGACGUAAACAGUUGUUGCAGUAACAUGAGGGCAUGCCAUUGAAGUUCCAGAUAAUAUAUUGAAAUACGAAACUCUACUAUCUCCAUUAACUCUAGAAAUAGGAGAAAGUGUAGACCAUGCAGCCAGAAUGUCAACUCCUGGAGCUGCUAUGUCAGGCUGUACCAUCAAGAGAUAACUUAUAUAUAAGCAAAUGAGCUUGAAUUGGUUGGAUUGAUUGUAUAUUGUACCAUGAAGUUUACCUUAAGAAUGUUUGGAGUGAUCGUAUUUGGACCUCUUGAUGAGAAAGGAGCAAUGUAAGGGGCUGCUGAGUCUAUUCCUUCGUAACUCUUGGAUAUGAUAGCUGUUGGAUUACUACAGAUCGAUGACAUGACAUAUAAAUCAUUUUAUUCAAGACUAAUUGAGCAAAAUUUUAUAGCACUUAUGUAUGAUAUUUAUGUGUUGAUGAAAAGUUUGUACCUUGUUGACUUUAAAUAAUUAUAUACGGAUUGCCCAUCACUUGAGCUAAUGUGAACUUCUGGCAAUGCAAAUACACCUGCAACAACUAAAGGCAAUGUACUGCGGAAUAUGACACCAGCAGCUCCAGAAGCAAAUCCCACACGUACAGAAGAAGCAUAGCCAUCACACAAAACAAUUUUCCCUCUCACCAAAGCUCCAUUCAAGGAAUUGUUAGUGCACAACCUAAGCAAUGCUAAGGUUAGUAUGGAGUUUUGAAUUGUAAUAGAAAGAUUAGAAACAAAUUACCAAAUAAUAUGUCUAAAUUGCUAAUUUCUUUAAUUAUUUAUAAAAUUCAAUUAUUUAAUCACCAAAGCUCCAUUUAAAAAACUAUCAAUGCACGUACUAAAGCAAUGCUAAUGUUAGAAUGGAGUUUUGAAUUGUAAUAGAAAGAUUAGAAACAAAUUACCAAAUAAUAAGGCUAAAUUACUUUGCUAAUUCCUUUAAUUAUUUAUAAAAUUUAAUUUCCUUCUCAAUAUAUUACAAAAAAAAUAAUUAAAUAAAAAUUAAUUUUAAAAAUAAAAUUAAUUAAUCAUUAUAUUAACUAAAUUAAAUAUUAUUUUAAAAUUUAAAAAAAAAUUAAUAUAUAAAAUAAUUUUUAUUAUUUAUAAAUAAUUUUUAAAUUGAUAUCUACUUAACUAUCAACUAAUUAGAUUCUAAUAUAGUAAUAAUAUAUCAGAAGAAUUAGUAAAGGUUUAUAAUUUUAUUAUAUUUAAAAAUCAAACUUGAAUUUUUUAAAAUACAAUUUAUUAUAGUGACCUUUUUCUAUAAUUUUUAAUUUAUAUAUAUAUUUUAAAUAAAUUAUAAUAUUAUUAUAGUGAUAAAUGUUUAAAAAAUCUACACUAUUUUGUAAAAUUAAAUUUUUAACCAUUAAUUCAAUAUUGCUUCUUUAACUGCGUCAACUUCAUUAGAUGGAAAAGAAACAUUGGAAUUUAUAGAAAAAUAAUGUUGGUACCGUGAUGUGGAACUAUUAAAUCCAGGAGCUGGUACAUCUCCAUCAUAAAUUAUAGGGUAACCAUUCUGUGGUGGACUAAAUGUGUUCCCUGAAAUUCCCUGGAUAUGUUGAGAGAAAUCUUUUGUUACUUUUUUAAUAUUUUAAAAAAUAAGUAAAAGAAUUUAAAGGGAUAAUUACCCGGAUGAUCUGGCCAUUGCCCAGUUUGAGAUCAGUUAAAAACUUUCUGUCUAUAGUGGUGGCAGCCACAGAAAUGUACCAGGGUGCAACAUCCGCCAUUGUGGAAGGAUUUGGACCCGAAUUGCCUGCAGAUUUAGAAGUUAAUAUGCCCCUCCUCAUUGCAUGGAAAGCUCCUAUUGCAUGUACAUCUUCAAAAUAGUUCAAGUGUUUGACGGUUGAUCCCACUGAAACAGAAAGAAUAUCAACACCAUCCGAGAUGGCUGCAUCAUAUGCUGCAAGAAUGUCAACACUUUGACAACCCCCUGUCCAACAAACUUUAUACACAGCAAUGCGUGCUGAUGGAACUCCUCCUCUUGCUGUUCCUAAGCCAAGCCCAAACAGAUUUGCAUUGGGAACAAGGUUUCCAGCAGCAAUGGAUGCACAGUGAGAUCCGUGACCAUUGUUAUCAGUUGGAGAUAUGAUGUCCCCUGGGAGGAACCCACCUCCAAUGCGAAAAUGUUUUGCUCCAAUUACUUUGCUACAAACAAAUCAUGAAGCAAGCAUUCAGAGAUAAGUAAUUUAAUGGUUACUUUUACCUUUUAAUAAUUAUUACUUUGAAAAUUUUAUUACUUAAGUUUAGGUGUAUAUGUUUGGAUCCAAGUUGAUUUACUACUGAGGUGGAUGUUGUUGACAUUUGACAUGAAAAAAUUUUAAAUGUGAGUUUAAAAAUUGAAACCAGACAUGUUGUUUAUGUAUAUAAGAAACAUUACUUAUUGCAAGUGAAGUUAUAGCAUGUUCCCUUCCAUUUCUGUGGUGGUGGACCAAAGCCUCCACCAGUAAAGCUAUUGGCAUUAGAAAUCCAAAUUCCACUAUCGAUUACUCCAACAAUUGUGUUACUUUCUUCAUUUGUUCUUGGGACAUUUUCAGGGAAGUUAAGGAAGUUCCAGGACCUUGAUGUUUCCACAUUGUGGACUCUAUCUGGAAUAACAGAUACCACACCAUCCAUUCCUGUCAAAAUAUUCCAAAUUUUCACAAAUCAUAAUCAAUCAUAUUAAUGUAGGAAUAUGACAGGAAUCAAAACCAAAAAUAUAUUUAUGAAUAAAGCAAAAAGCUGAUGAAAAUGUGGUCUGAGCUAAUAGACACAUAUGUAUAAUUGGAAUUUUUCAAGUGCUCUUUUUAUUAAUAUAUUUUAGUUCUUUUUUUUGGAAAAAAAAAUUACCUUUCAUUCUUUCUGAUUCUUCUUUGGUUAGUCUCGCCACAAAUCCAUUGAAACUCUUGUAGCGGUGCAACAAAGUAUCUGAUGCAAAUUUGCUGGAUGGAUGUACAUUUCAUAUGGAAUUUUAAUAGUUAGUUAAAAAAUUCCAUAUUCUUGAUUGAUAAUAGGUUUAAAAUAAAAGAAUUGUUCUCUUUUUAGAGCAAUUUAUUUCAUUGUUUUUCUUUUCACUCCUCCAAAAUAGCAUUUAAGUCAAACACGAUUCUUUGUAUUUGAAAAUGUUAGACAUACAAUGUUAAGUGAGUUGAGUAGAAACAAUUAAGGCUUAUAUAUGAACCUGCCGAGGACACUUUGAACCAUCCUGGUGUGAAAUGAUUCUGUUAUUUCCAUGCCCUUUGGAUAUUCUCCCAUGUAGACUAUGUAAGUCUGUAGUAUGAACAAGAUAAAUUAAAAAGAAAUUUAAACUAAGUGAAUUUCACAUUGAUGCUUAAACAUUGAAAAUAUUAUAUUCAACCUUGGGGUUAAUUUGUUCAUUUUGAAUAUAAUCCAAAUUCUUAUUAACUUAAAUGUAAUCCAAUAUUUUCCUUAAAAAAAUAUGCAUUAUUAGAUUUAUUUAAAAACAUCAUAAAAGGAUAAAAACCUAAGAGUAAUUUAUGAAAAGAUAUAACCUCUCACAGAUAGAAGGAAUGUGAAAAUUAGUUGAGGAAAAAAAUAAAUUACAAAGUGAAAUAUUAUACAAAAGAGAUACCUCAAGUAUACGUUUGCAAAAAGUAUAUUUUUGUAAUACAAACAAUUUCAAUUGCUACGUCAAACAAUAUUGAAUAUAUAUUAUUUACCUUUCGAUCAUCUUUAGAAAAUGAGGAAGUCAACAGCAGGAUGCAUGUAAGGAUUUGAAGAAGAUGCGACAAACCUAAAGACUUCAUCUUUCGGAACAGUAAUCUUGAUGAAUGUGUUUUAAAGCUCUUUCAACCUGUAAGUAAAUUUAAUUUAUUAUGUUAAGUAUAUAUUUAAAACUUAUUAUGUUAAAUAUAUAUUUGAAACUCACAACACAACACUAAAAUUUGAUAUUGGAAAUGGUAAAUAGAAGUAUAUAUACAUAAUAAAUUGAGAAUGAAAACAGUAACAAAGUAGAUUAGCAAUAAGAACAUCAUUUUAAUCUGCACAACAAAGUGGAUUGGGUAGCUUUACAAUGUACUUAAAAGGUUGGUUUUGUGUUUUAUUUAUUUAUUUGCAGAUUACUGUUAUUUUAUCAAUUCUGGUGGUUGAAGUUGAAUUGGAUAGAUUAAUGAAUGUGUGCAAUCUAUUAUUUUCUUUGAAAAAUUGUUCUUUAAAGAAUUUUAGUUAUCAAAUUUUAAACUAUUGUAAAUUUUGUCUGUCCAUAAUUUCAUGUAUGUUAAAUUUCAAAUGACAUUACCAUUUCACAAUGGUUUUAAAUUAUUACUAAAUGAGGUCUUCAAUGCACCGUGUAUGCUGGUCACAUAGGCAUACAGUCAACUAUGCCAUCAAAUUUACUUCCUAGUAUAUAUUGUGUGUUGUUUAAUUCUGUUCAAUUUUGUUAAUCACAUGCAGACAAAUAAACAUUAAUAGUGUCAACUAAUAAUAAUGAUGUAGUUGAUUGAGAAAUAUGAUAUUAGUAGUCUUUGUAAAAUGGUUGAAAUAUUUAAUACUAUAAAUUUAUUCGAUUUGUUUAUUAUCGAUAAAAAAUAUAUUAUUAAAUGUAUAUGUUUAAAAUUAAAUUUAAUACAUUGACAAUUUUUAACGGAAAGAUAUUAAGUUUUAUUUUUUUCUUGCUUUUGUAAUUAUCUUCAACUUACUCCCCAACACCAAAGUGACAACCAUUUACCUUUUGAAAUUCAUCUAUUUCCAAAUCAUUGCAUUGUGAAAGUUAUAUAGUGAAAGUUAUAGGAUGAAUUCAAGUUAAUUAUUAUUUUCAAAGAAAAGUGUGCAUUGGCAAUGUUAAGGUGAUAACUAUACAAAAGAGUCCUUUGUUGUUUUUAUGUGACUGAGAGAAGAAGUUGUGUAGGAAGCCAAAAUAAGAGAGUUCCUCAUUGCUUCAUUUUCUGUAUAAGAUUAAUGUUUUAUAAAAAAAAAAAUCAAUAAAUGAAUAGGAAUACACAAAUAAUGGAGUAUCAGUUUAUAUUAAGAGGGAACCACUCGCAAUAAAGUAAUAAAAUAAUUAAAAAUAAACCAAUAAAAGUAAUUAGGGAUGAUAUUGAUGCUUAAUAUUUACUCAAAUUAAGAGAAAGUUAUUAUAUAUAAUUACAAAUUUAUAACAAGAUAAUUAUGCCGAAAAGUUAAAUAACUUUGUAUUAAUUAAUUUAAAUACUGAAUAAAUAAUAAAUAUAUUCUACUGUUUUAGGUCACUUUUUCAAGUCAAAACACUGACUGAACCUAAUUGCAUGGUCUGAAAAAAAAAAAUACAAUUUGAUAAAGUUUGGUUGACUGGUUUAUAAUUCAGUGGGUUUUAAAUUUUGAAAUUGAGGUAUAAAUGAAACAAUAGAAAUAGAGCAUUGUUAUAUAUAUAAGCAGAGAACAGAAGCAGUAGAAAAAUAUUAGGAGAAAGAGUUAUAAAUGAAUAAUGGAAACAGGAAGAGAUGAGAGACAUACUCAACUUAGUAGAACAUAUCUUGAGUAAAGGAUGUCAAUACACACACUCUAUCUUACCUUUAUAGCCACUUGAUUGGACGGUUUCAUGUUCCACGUUUUGCACAUUUAAUUUUCAAGGACAAAAAUUAAUUUGAUUGAAUUUUUAAAAGAAAAACUAUACACUCCAAUAGAAAUUGGAGUUUCAUAAUAUAACUAUACUUCUUUAUAUUAAGGAUUUUUUUUUUUAAAUAUUCAUUUAGAAGAUAAUAUUUUUAACUGUGUAAUGUAUUGAAUAUUUUUUUCUAAAAUAUGUUUAAAAAAAAUAAAGAAAUACUGGAUCUGGAAUUAUACUUUCUAUUGAAGUUGGAAUAAUUUAUGUCAACAUUUGAUGUAAUGUUUUUAACACAUGAAACAAGAAUUACUAUGUACAACUCAAUUCUUAAUCUGAAAUAGCACUUAAUUAAAACAUUGAGAACCCAAUUUAAGGUUUUUUAAGAAUUUACUUAUGAAAUAUUUUAGUAAUAAAAUUUGGUUGAAUAUUUUAAUAUUUUAAAUACCUCCUUUAAUAUUUGCAAUACAUGAAAGGUAAUUUUGUUUUUUUAUAAAGAUUGACUAUCGAACUCCCUUUUAUUUAUAUUUUUUUAUUAUUAAUAAAAAAAAUAUAAAAGUAGUUUUCACACACUUGUAAGAGGACAUUAGGGAUAAGUGUUUGAAGUCCGCAAAGUAUUGGUUGAGAAGAAAUUAAAUAAAGAUAAAUAAUUUAAAUUAAUUUCUAUAGUUAGAAAAGAUAAAAGUGAAAAUAAUUUUUAAAUUUUUUGAAAUGAUGUACAGUUCUUUCUUAUUUUUAAUUUUCUUCUUUAGCAAAGAAGUAUAAAAAAAUUAUGUUAUUCUCGUCAUUAUAAAAACAACAUCAAAUUAACUUAUGAAUAAACAUCAAAUUUAAUUAAUCAAAUUUGUUUAUAAAUAUUAGUUGAAUUACUAUUAAAUUCUAAUGUGAUACAAAAGAUUAAUUUUUUUAAAAAAAAACUUUAAAAUAACAAUAUUGAAUAAAUAUUUACAUCAGUGUAAGAUCAGCAUCCGUUUAACAAUCCCACAUCAUGGAGUCAUAAGCCUUCUCAUAAUUUACCUUAAAAAAGACACAAUUUUUCUUCUUCUUUUUCAUCUCAUCUAGAACUUCGUUGGACACAAGAAUGCUAUCCAUUAGCACCCUUCCUUCAAGGAAAGUAGGUUGGCUAAAAUCGAUGACUUUACUAAUCACUUUUUUCAGUCUCAGAGACAAAAUCUUUGAUACAAUUUUGUUCACACACCCUACCAAUGAAAUGAGUUUGAAAUCACUAAGUUGUUGCGAAUUAUCUGACUUAAUAAUCAAACAUAUAAAUGAAGUGUUUUACCCCUUAGGCCAUUUACAUCUGACUGCAAAAUCAUUCAUAGCCGAUAGAAUAUCCUCCUUUAGACAGUCGCAACAAAAGUUAAUGAAACUGAAGUUAAAAGCAUCUGAACCAAGGCUCUUCAAACUAUCACAAUCCAAACUGUAGUCUUAACUUCCUCUUUAGAGAAAGCUCUUACCAACAACGCAUUGUCAUCACUAGAGAUAGAAUUAAAACAGGCAUUGUCCAACCUAACCUGAGGCCUAGAAACCCCAUAGAACUUGGCUUUGAAAAAAUCUCUGACCUUUGCCUUAACCACCUCUUUAUCUUCGCACCACUGAUUGUUCUCAAGAAUGUCAUUGAUCCCGUUCCUCGCUCUCCUCCACUUCACGAUCGAAUGAAAGAAUUUUGUGUUUAAAUCGCCUUGUUUCAGCCAUUUAAGACAACCUCUUUAUUGCAAAACAACUUCUUGUUUGAAAAAUUUUCCACUUUGUUUUGCUAACAAGAGUCUCCUUACCUCCCUCCCAGGCUCAUCUAGAUCACUUUCAUAAUCUCUUGCAUUCAGCUCUUGAAUUUUCUUUUGCAGAUCUUUCCCUACUUGGUUAACAUUCUCGAAAAUAUCUCUAUUCCAGAUUUUCAAAUCUGAUUUCAAAUUUUUCAACUUUUCUUUUAAAACGAACAACCCUUCACCUUGCACCUCACAGCUAUGUCAUUUGAAAAUAAUUUCUUCUCCACAUCGUAAUAAUCCCUCCUAUAUUAGUAACAACACCAUUUUUAAUAAAAGUUAAUAGUUACAUUACAUCUAUAAUCUAGUAUCGAGUUUACAUUAAACAUAUAAGAAUCUAUCCAUACAUUAAAAAAGUCUAUUAAAAUAAUAUAAAUAACUUAAUUUUUCUUAGAUAAAUAUUAUCCUUUUAUUAUACAUUUAUUCAUUUAACUUUUAAGUAUGAAAGUGUCUUAUGUACUACACGCUUGGAAAUAAAUUUUGAAUGAAUAAAGAAUAUAAAAAUUUGCAGAUAAAUUGCAAACCAAUAUUCUUUAUUUCAUUAUAAAUUAUAUCGUUUUAAACUUUAUCCUUUUAAAAUAUUAUUUUUUAAUAAAAAAUACAAUCAAAAUUUAUUAAAAGUCCUUAAAAUCUUUAGAUUAAACUUAGUUAUUUAUAAAUUAUUUUUAAUAAAAAUUCAAAGGUAAAAAUCUCACAAUAACAUUUAUAAACAUUUUUAAAUUUUUAGGUCAAUUCAUACACAAUAAUUUAUAAGUAAUAUGUAUGUAAUUACCUACGAAUCUCGUCUAUAUGUAAUUACAUGUGAAUUAUAUGUAAUUACAUGUGAAUGUGGUUGAUAGUUUAUUAUGUAUGGAUGAAAUUUAUAGAUAAAUUAUGUACAAAUGAGAUUUAUAUAUAAAUAUGUGGAUGAGAUUUGUAGGUAAUUAUUGACCUGACUUCUUACCUUCUAACCUCAUCCAUCUAAAUAAACAAAAACUCUCGUCUUCACACCAAAUCUAAUAUUCCAACUUAUAAGGAAGAACUAAGUGAUAGAACUUUAUAGAACUAAGUGGUAGAACUUUUGCUUCAAAUAUAUCCCCAACAUACUAUUGCACUCUAUCAUACCACAUUAUUUGGAUAAAUGUAUUAUAGAAAAACCUUCUUACAUAUUGGAAAUCCCACAUCGACUAGAGAUAAGGACAUUUCAUAAUAUAUAAAUGGGUGCAAACCUCACCCCUAUGAGCCGGUUUUAUGGGGUUGAGUUAGGCUUAAAGUCCAAUUCUUAACAUGGUAUCAGAGCCAUUUCGAGCCUAUCCUAGCGAGUAUUUGUUGGGUUUAUCAGUCGACCCGCUAUCGGGCCGUUACUGGACCACCCAUAACAUAUAUCUCCACGCAUGAGUUGGUAGCCUCGACGUGAGGGGGUAUGAGCCGGUUUUAUGGGGUUGAGUUAGGCUUAAAGUCCAAUUCUUAACAUUACAUACUCUAAUUCAUUACAUUUAAGAUACCUAUUAACCAUGCUAGUCCUACAUAACACAUUCUUAUUUUCUAUUAUAUAAAAAAAAAACCUCCCUAAUAACUUCAAAUAUGAUUUCCAAUAAUGUACCUUUAUACAAACAAUUUAUAUAGAUCACCACAUUCAAGAAAAGAAAAUAAAAAUAAAUAAAGAAAAAGAGAAAACACAGGGAAACCUCUAAAAAGAUACCAUAUCAACCAAGUAUAACUCAUUAAAUAGAAACCAAUUUUAAUGAUAAAAAUUAUUAAUUUUUAUAUUGACUAAAUUAUAUACUAUUUUUAAAAAUAAAAAAUAUGUUGGAUUGUUGGAUUUAUGAAAUAAUGUAGGGUAUGAAAAAUAUAAAAUUAAUGUGUAUAAUGGUUGGAAAAUAUAAAAGAUGUGAUAUUCAAAAUUGGUAGUUGAGGUGAUUUUAAAUAUAACAUGUGUUAAAUUCGAUAAAGCUGGAUACUCCAUCGUUUAUGAAGAAGGCCAGAGUAUAGGACACACCACUCAUGUUGAAACCGACGUAUACAUGCAUAAUGUUUAUGAAAAAAACAAAUCCAUCUUUUACAGAAUACAGCAUGAAUUUCUAUAAAAUGAAUUGAUGUAAAUAUUAAAAAUAGAUUUUACACAAUAUAUCUAAAUAAAAUUUUGUUUUGAUAAUAAUAAAUUAUAGCAAUGAUCAAUUAUGUAAUUAAUUAAGAUAAUUUUCAAAAUUCUUUGUAAGAAAAAAGACAGUAAAAUAAAUUACUAAAUAAAAACAAAUUUUAUAUACCAAACUAAUUAAUUACUAUUUAAUUAAAUUAAAGAUUAUUUUAUAAAUUAAGAAAAUUAUUAAUAUUUAAAAUAAUUUCUAUUAUUAAUAAAAAAUUAUGAAAUAAUUUUUAAAUUAAUAUUUAAUGAUUAACUACCAAAAUUUUAACUACUUACUAUUUUAUAUUCUAAAUUAAUCUCUAUUAAUCUUUUAGACACUAAUUUAAAAUUAGUAGUUAAGAUCUAAAUAUCUAAUUUAGAUAUUAAUUUAUAAAUUAUUUUCAAAUUUUUAUUAAUAAUAGAAAUUAUUUUAGAUAUCAAUAAUUUUUUUAAUAUCUAAAUUAGUAUAUAUUUUAACCAAUAUAGUUAAUAUAAUGAUUAAUUAUUUUUUAUCUCUAAAUUUAAUUAUGAUUUAAUAAUUUUUUUUCACGAAAUUCAGGAAAAGCAAGUGAAACUCUGUUUUAUAAUAUAUAAUAUACCCAUUUUGAAAAUAAAGAAAAAGUAAAAGCACGUUGUCAUAAAUUAAAAAUACAAUACAUUUCUAAUUUUUUGUUGGCAUAUUUUUAUGGUGAUAAAUACAAUUUUCUUUUACACGAUCAAAUUUUUUUUUUGUUUCAAUCUCCACCCCAUCUGUUCCUUCUGAUAAGAGGAUAAGAUACUUGGAUUGUGAUAUCAUAUUUAAGCACCAGCAUCACAUGUUUUUUUGUCUUCCCCGCCCCCACUGUUUUGUGUGGUUUGAUUUGUCAGUGCUUCACAUGUUUGUUGUUCUGUUAUUCACAUAUUUUAACUUUUACUUCAUCUCUUUAAUUUAUCUUUGGACUGGAAGAAGUAUUUAAGAGAAUAGAUACAUGAAGAACAAUGUAGAAAAACAAAUAAGGAUAAAAAAUAUUUAUUCAAGCGAUUAAAUGGUUUCUUUAAUUUUUCUUUACCAAUAAGAAGAUUGGUAAACAGUAUAACCCCACGUAUAUACUCGCUUGUGUCUAUGAGCAAACCAGUGAAUCUAAAUCGAGAAUAUUUAUGUGUUUUCAUCUUUGUAAAUAGUAAAUAGUUUGAACCAAACUUAACAUUAGUUAAAAGGGUUUUUUUAUGCUUUAAAAUUUCUGGUUUAUUAUUAUUUUUUAAACUUAAACCAUGGUUCAUACUUGUGAGGAUUGAAGGAAGAGAUAUAGUGGAAGAUAUGAUUAAGAAUGGAGGAAGUGGAAUAGAUGAUAAAUGUUGGCAAUGGUGAGUGUCUGAAGAGGAAGUUGGUGAGACCUGUUGGAAAAAACGGGUAAUUUUCCCACUAAAACAGAACUCUAAUAGAGCUACCCGAUAAAUAAUAUUGAAUAAAUAAAGCGGAAUAAUAAAAUAGAUAAAGAGGAAAAACACACUAGAAAAUUGUUAACGGAGUUCGGCCAAUUUAGCCUAAUCUCCGAGCACAGCUUAAACAACCCACUUUUAUUAUUAUGGGAGAAGAUAUUACAAAUUGGUAUAUCUAACAGUGAAGGAGAAGAGUUUAAUUUAUAACCCUCAAACCUCCUUCCCAAACAAUGAACCCACCGAUGUGGGACUUGGGAUUAAGCCAAAAUCAACAAAUCUCCACCUUGGCUUAAUUUCAAGUCCCACCUAAAACAAAUCUUCUCAAAACAUAACAAAAACAAAGCUUCAAAUUUGCGCCUCCGGGCGCCAACUUCAAAUGUGCAAGAUAUUAACCAAGUCUAAACAGUAUUCAAACUUGGUCCUUGUAACCACCUUGGUGAGCAUAUAUGCAGGAUUCUCCGAGUGUGAAUCUUCUGGAAAACAAUCUCCUCUUCUUCGAAAAUCUCACGCACAAAGUGAUAACGAACAUCAAUGUGCUUCGUCCGUGCAUGAAAGAUUUGAUUCUUUGCUAAAUGAAUAGCACUCUGACGGUUAGAAUAUAACUCAAGUUGUUUCUGACCAACUCCCAAGUCUUUAAGCAACCCAUGAAGCCAAAUUGCUUCCUUCACAGCCUCUGUAAUCGCCAUAUACUCUACCUCUGUCGUAGACAAAGCCACCGUAGACUGCAAGGUAGACUUCCAACUAAUUGGCGCUUUUGCUAAAGUGAACAAAUAGCCAGUUGUAGACCGUCGCUUAUCCAAAUCACCUGCAUAAUCAGAAUCACAAUAUCCAACUAUGCAUUGACCAAGUGAUUCAUCUUGCUCAAAUGUCAAUCCAACAUCUAAGGUAUUUUGGAGGUACCGUAGNNNNNNNNNNNNNNNNNNNNNNNNNNNNNNNNNNNNNNNNNNNNNNNNNNNNNNNNNNNNNNNNNNNNNNNNNNNNNNNNNNNNNNNNNNNNNNNNNNNNNNNNNNNNNNNNNNNCCAACUGCAUUUGCAUAUGGGACUUUCGCCAUGUAUUCUCGUUCUUCAUCAGUCGUCAGAGAUAAACGGCUACUCAAUUUCAAAUGAGGAGUAAGUGGGGUACUUACAGGUUUUGUAUCUUCGUGUAUACCAAAACGUUGUAGUACCUUCUGCAAAUACUACUUUUGUGACAGCCAAAGUUUUCCCCUCUCCCUUAUCUCCAUGCCGAGAAUCUUUUUGGCUUCCCCCAAAUCCUUCAUCUCGAACUCUUUACUCAACUGAGCCUUUAACUUCUCAAUCUCAACUUGGCUCUUUGUUGCAAUCAACAUAUCAUUAACAUAUAAGAGUAAGUAAAUGUAGGAACCAUCUUCAAGUCUGCGCAAAUACACACAGUGAUCAUAUUUGCUUCUCUUGUACUUCUGAUCCUUCAUGAACUUAUCAAAUCGUUUGUACCACUGUCUUGGAGAUUGUUUCAGUCCGUACAACGAUUUGCUAAGUUUACAAACCCAAUCUUCUUUACCAUCAACCUUGUAUCCUUCUGGUUGAGUCAUAUAGAUUUCCUCCUUCAAAUCACCGUGUAGGAACGCGGUCUUUACAUCAAGUUGACCAAGCUCCAAAUUCAACUGUGUUACCAAGGCCAACAAAAUUCGAAUGGAUGAAUGUUUAACAACUGGAGAAAAUACCUCAUUAUAAUCAAUUCCCUCCCUCUAAGCAAAGCCUUUAGCAACCAACCUUGCCUUGUAGCGAACAUCUUCUUUAUUAGGAAAUCCUUCUUUCUUUGCAAAUACCCAUUUGCACCCAAUUGCCUUCUUACCUUUUGGUAAUUGUGCCAACUUCCACGUCUUGUUCUUCUUCAAAGACUGCAUCUCCUCUCCCAUCGCACCUGCCCAAUUACCACUCUCUGAACUCAGAAUNNNNNNNNNNNNNNNNNNNNNNNNNNNNNNNNNNNNNNNNNNNNNNNNNNNNNNNNNNNNNNNNNNNNNNNNNNNNNNNNNNNNNNNNNNNNNNNNNNNNNNNNNNNNNNNNNNNNNNNNNNNNNNNNNNNNNNNNNNNNNNNNNNNNNNNNNNNNNNNNNNNNNNNNNNNNNNNNNNNNNNAGUCACUUGUGGUAUUUCGUGUUGGGAUCACCACUGUCGGCUCAAACUCCACCUGCUUCUGGGCACACUCCACCUGUUGUGGAGUACUAUCAGCUCCUUCUGGAUUUACCUUCUUUAACAUGGCAGAUUCAUCAAAGGUAACAUCCCUGCUGAUAAUCGUCUUCUUUGCCUCUAGACACCAUAAACGGUAUCCUUUCACUCCAGGACUAAAGCCCAUGAAAAGAGCCUUCUUUGCCCGUGGAUCCAACUUUGAUUCAAUCACAUGAUAAUAUGCAAUAGAACCAAAAACAUGCAAAGAAUCAUAAUCAGUUGCAGGUUUUCCAGACCAUACCUCUAACGGGGUUUUGCCAUCUAUAGCAGAUGAUGGCAAACGAUUGACGAGAUGUUAAGCGUAUGUCACAGCCUCAGCCCAAAACUCUCUGCCUAACUCAGCAUUAGACAACAUACAACAAACUUUCUCCACAAGUGUCUUGUUCAUACGCUCCAAAACCCCAUUCUGCUGUGGUGUUUUUCUAACAGUGAAGUGCCGAACUAUGCCACAAUCUUGGCAUACCUUCAGGAACAGAUCACUCUUGUAUUCUCCUUCAUUGUCUGUUCGGAGAACCUUAAUCUUCCUUCCUGUCUGGUUUUCAACUUGAGCUUUCCACUUAAGGAAAAUUUCAAGCACAUCAUUUUUGUUCUUCAUAGUAAACACCCAAACUCUCCUGGAAAAAUCAUCAACAAAAGUGACAAAAUAAUGCCUACCUCCAAUUGACGGAGUCUUGGCAGGUCCCCACACAUCUGAAUGCACAUAAUCCAAAAUACCCUUGGUAUUGNNNNNNNNNNNNNNNNNNNNNNNNNNNNNNNNNNNNNNNNNNNNNNNNNNNNNNNNNNNNNNNNNNNNNNNNNNNNNNNNNNNNNNNNNNNNNNNNNNNNGAACACAAUGCUCACAAAAUUCAAGUUUGCAAGCCUUCGUACCUUUCAACAGUCCUUGCUUGGUAAGAAUUUGCAAGGAUUUCUCUCCAGCAUGUCCCAACCUCAUAUGCCACAACUUUGUUGCCUCGACAUCCUUCUUAGUGCUAGAAGUUGCUGUCGCUACUGUCCACAUCACUUUUGCAUUCUGCAACAUUUGCAUCUUGCGGAGCCUUCCCUUUCUUCUGCAGUUUUGGACAGUCUUUCUUCCAGUGUCCUUUCUCAUGACAGAAAACACACUCAUCUUUGGCAACGGCUCGACCUUUAGACUUAGACCAGACCUCCCUCUUCUCCCCUUUGUUUGGCUUUGUUGACGACCUCUUGCCACCAAUGCUUCUUCUUCUUGAUUUUCCAUUACAAACUCAAAAUAUAAUAUUCAAUAUUACAAAUAAUUUCAAACAACCCAAGGGCGAACCUUCGGCUCUUGAUACCACUGUUGGGAAAUACGGGUAAUUUCCCCACUAAAACAGAACCCUAACAGAGCUACCCGACAAAUAAUAUUGAAUAAAUAAAGCGGAAUAAUAAAAGAGAUAAAGAGGAAAAACACACCAGAAAAUUGUUAACGAAGUUCGGCCAAUUUAGCCUAAUCUCCGAGUACAGCUCAAACAACCCACUUUUAUUAUUAUGGGAGAAGAUAUUACAAAUUGAGAUAUCUAACAGUGAAGGAGGAGAGUUUAAUUUAUAACCCUCAAACCUCCUCCCAAACAAUGAACCCACCGAUGUGGGACUUGGGAUUAAGCCAAAAUCAACAAGACCAACCUUUCAAGUGUCUACUAGCCUUCUAGGCUUGUAAACAAGAAGAGACUUGAGAGAGAAUGAAUUUUGUGUUCAGAAUUUUCAUUCACAAUUAUAUCAAAUAUGAUUACACAAUGUAUUUAUAAUCAAACAAGAUAGCUUGUGUCGCAAGCUACAUACAACUACACAUACAUCUACAAAUACUUGUUCUAUUACAAAUGUCUUCUACUUUAUUUAUUGUAUAUGGUGGCUUCCCCCCUCCUUAAAAAGGAUUUGUCCUCAGAUCCUACUGAGCAAGGUCACCAGAACGGAAACAACUUGUGCUAUAGUCCUCCAUGCUCAUGAAUCCUCCUGAAAAGAAAACCACAAAGAAUAAGACUACAACACCAAAAAAAUAAAAUGUACAUAUAAAAGAUACAAAUGGGAAAACGAAGAAAGGAAAAAUAUCAACAAAAGAUAAGAAGAAAAAAAAGUACCUGAAGAGGUAGAUGAACGAAGUACACAUAAAGGUUUACAUGGUAAAGAAGAAGCAGAAGACGGAGAUGUUACCUGCUGAGACAUAUAUUCUUGUUGAAUUUUCUCUUUAAGGGUACUGGCAUUUGCACGUAUCUCAGAAGGAGAAAGAGGAAACAAUAUAUAUUUGUGAUUUGGGAAAAAGUGAUCUUAUUUGAAAAUCCAUCAUGAAGAGUAUUGUUAUCAAAUUGCCAAGGUCGGCCAAAAAUAAUGUGACCAAUGUCCAUAGGAAUAACAUCACAUAAAAUUUGAUCGAUAUAGUUACCAAUUUGAAUAGGAACCAACACCCUAGUGUUGACAAUGAUUCCAUUAUGAGGAUUAAUCCAAUCCAGACGGUAUGGAAAAGGAUGAGGUUGAGUAGAUAAAGAUAGCGUAUGAACUAACCGUGUACUAAAACAAUUACAACAAGAACCACUGCUAACAAUUACAGUAAAAACAUUUCCAAGAACUAAGCAACGCAUAUGAAACAAAUUCUCACGUUGAUAAUUACUAAGAUCAACAGGGUGAGUAUGAAGAAGACGUUGUAUAAUGCAAAUCUGGAAUCAUAAGAAUAAGGUUGUUUUUUAGAACAAGCGGGUAGAUGUAGUGGAGGUUUUCACUGUGGUACAAAGAAAGACUUGGUCUUGGAUCACGGUAAAAGAAAAGUUGGCUACUUUCUCUUACUCAGAUUGGUGCUUGGAACCCCAUUGUUGUAUGAGGUAUUUGAAAGAUUGAUUUGCUGCUCCUAUCUAAUGUUUAUACCCAGGUUUGGAAGUUGUGGUAUGUUUUGUGCAGGUUUCCUUGGCAUGGAUGGAUUGAUGUGAGUGCCUUAGGUUGCGAUUGGAAGUUGCUUGUGUUUUGUGCAGGAUUUUCUGGUUAUGCUCUCUUUUGCAGGUUCGAUUGUUGUAUUUGGCAUUGAGUUUGAUGUAGGUCAGAAUGCUAGUAAAGAUCUUCUUUAGCUGUUGGAUUUUGUGCCUGUUUUGAGGGCGUGUUUCAAUAUAGGGUUGAGGGUUGGGGGAUCUCUGUAUCUGGUAUUUUAUACGUGUUUUUGGGUAUUGUCAUGUAAGGUCUGGUGGAUACUUGCUGGUGCAAGGAAACUUGUUUUUGGUUUUUUUAUAAGGGUUGGGGUACCCUUGAAGUACCUCAUUUUAUUUUAUUUAUUCUUUGCUGAUAAAAAAAACAAUGCAAAGCUCACCCGUAUAAGGAUGAAAUUGUUCAUCUGAAGUGGGAUUAUCCUCAGAAUCAGAAGAAAUUGGAGAAUGUGUCUGUGGUUUAUUAUCUAGUUGAUGAACAAGCAGAGUUCUUUUUUGUGGGCAGUCAGAAGAAUAAUGUCCCUUCUCAAGACAAGUAAAACACUGAAUAUUUUUAGACUUACCAUAUGAUAAGUGUCUAAUUUCAGUAAUAUUUCAUAUUAAAAUAUAGGCACUUAUGAGGAUUUAUUGCUAAUUUACAUAUAAAAUAAUCUAUAAUUUAUGAAUUUAUACUUUUUUACAUUUUGUAUGAUCUUUAUUUGAAUAAGAGCAUUUUAUUCUCAAAUUUGGUGUUAAUUGCAAAUUUCUAGGGAGGAUUGAAGAUUUGGAGUAAAGGAGAAUAAUUUGAGCUAAAAAGAGAAAGCUAGAAGGUCCCAGAAUGGAAAAAUAUGCAUAGAAAGAUUGGGCAUUUUUUAUGUUUUAUCACUUAGCCCAUUAGCGCGACACAUGAAGCAACCUAACCCUAGAAAAUUAGGAUAAAUAGGGGGCUAGAGGUUCAACCGACCCUAGUGUGCCAGAUUGUGAGGAAAACACCAUAGAGUGAAUUGUAACCCAACUGGGAGAAUGGAAGCUGCUAGAAGUAUGCGUGACUAAUUCUACCCUUUGGGAUCGAGAGUAAUAUGCUCAAACUCUUAUGUAUUGAGGUGAUAUCUUAUAUAUUAAUAUUCAGUUAUUAAUUGAUUAUUGGUAUUGUUGUUUUACUUUUAAUUUUCCGUGACAAAUUGAGAAUGUUAAAUCUAAUCGGGAAGUAUUUUUAAGGUUCAGACCUAAAUAAACUUAACAUAUUUGAGUGCUAGGAAUAGACUUAAAAUGUUAAUUGCUAUUAAACGUCUAAACUUUUCUUAUAAUUAUGCGAGGGAUCGAUACUUAGGGGACAUUCUUAAGGAUUUUAUAUGCGAGGAAUCGAUAUAAAUGAUUUUUAUACGGGCAUCAAUUUUAAUCAAAGAACUUAAUAUUGACAUGCUAAUCAUCAAAAUACACGAAAGUGAGAUAGAUGAAACCUAAUCCCUAUUUUUCCAACUUGAAACAACCAAUUCUAUGUCUGUUUUCUUAUUGAUCAUAGCCAACACAACCACUUUCAACACAAUUUUAAUUGUUUUGUUCUAUAUUUAGUGAUUAUUGUACUUGAUAAUUCACUCUUACUUGUGGGAUCGAUAUCCGUCCUUAAGGACAAUUAUUACUUCUUACAAACGCGAUACACUUACCGUAUAGAGUCAUCACCAUCCUUAGAAGGGAUCGAUAUCCGUCCUUAAGAACAAUUAUUACUUCUUACAAACGCGAUGUACUUAUCGUAUAGAGUCAUCACCAUCCUUAGAAGAAGACAGUAAAACAGAUUUAUCAAGAUGCUUAAGGACAUCACCUUCUUUUGAAAAACGCCUAGAUGAACCAACAACAUCUUUAGACAAAGAUUUAGAAAGCGAAGAGGAAUUCUUUUGGAAAGAACUUUUGCACUGAAGUUGAUCUUCCUCCCGAAUGCAAAUUUGCACAAGAUCAUUAAGAUCAUGAUAUGUUAGUAGUUCAACACGACCUCUGAUAGCAAAACUUAAACCAUUCAGAAAACGAGCAAUUGUUAAACGUGGUUCUUCCCGAAUACCUGCACGUAAGAGAAGCAAUUCCAUCUUCUGGCGAUACUGAUCAACAGAUAACUCCUUCUGAUUCAACCUAUGUAACUGAUUAAUAAUUUCACGGUCAUAGAAAUAAGGAAGAUACCGUUUUCUCAAAGCAGAACGAAGUUCAUUCCAAAAAUUGAUGGGAGGAUAACGAUGAAUAAGAAGAUCACGUGAAUAAGCUGUCCACCAAUGCAUAACACCAUCGUGAAAGCUAAAAGUAGCUGAUACUACUCGACGUUCAUGAUCCACAUGGUGGCAGUAAAAAAUUUGUUCAAUUUUCAUCUCCCAAUUGAGGUAAUCAUAUGUGCUGGUCAUGCCAUAAAAAGAAGGCAGAGAAAUUUUAGGCUCCUGAACUGUAGAAUGGUGAUGAGCAGUCAGUUUAGGAGGUGGUUAGUAAAAAUCUUGAUUGUGAUGAUUUUUGUAUGCAUCAGUUUAGGGUUAUGUUGAUGAACACUAGCCUUAUGAAGAGAGGAACCCCUGUGGUGGCUGUGAGAUCGAUGUGAUUUCUGAUCUCGUGCAAGAACAAGUUGAUGAAGCAGAGUUUUAAUUUCUUGGAGUUGCAAAUCAUGAUUCUGAAGAGUUGCUGUGAUGUCAAUAGGAGAAGAUGAUUUUCCAUGGCCAUGCACACUAGAAGGAUGAGAUGGAUCACUCAUGAUGAAACAGAAAACAAACAAAACUGAAAAGAAACGUUAGAUGAACAGAAAAAGAAAAUGGAGAAGCAAUCAACUAAAGAAAAUUUACCAAAUGAGGGCACAAGAAUAAAAAAAGUAACCUUAGAAUUAAAACCAGCGUAAGUAAAAUAGACCGCUUGAUGAAGAGACAAUAGUUAUUAAGAGACCAAACUAUAAAUCAAAAAGGAAGGAACAAAAAUCAUGUAUGCAAAUGGUCCUAACACCCAAAGAAAGGGUGAAGCUAAAUGCACAAGUACCACACCUACUGUACCACAGAGACCUACCAAUAUAAGAAAAUAAAAUAAGAAUGAAAGAAGGCAAAGAACCAAAAAUGCUUGAGUAUGUUGCCUAACAUUGAACAAGAGAAUUGUCAAGAAUGCAGACAAGAAUUGUAUCUGAUGUAUAAAAGACAAUUAAACCAGGUACAAACGCAAACUAAACAAAAUUGCUUAAGACAGCAAAGAAAACAUCAACUACUCAAAGUUCUGUGAUACAGAAAUGGACAAAAUGAGAAACAACAAAUAAGGUAUAUAUGAUUUGAAACUUGCGAAAUGAAAUAAAUUGAAUUAUCUUGUUACCUCGUUAUCUCCGCUUGAGAACAAGUCGAAAGAGCCCUGUAAAACCACUGGAGAAUGGCAGCACUUCACUUCUUAUGGAACCCUUCAAACACCACAAAAAACAAACACGAGAAAGGAAACCAAGAAAUAAAGUAAGAAAAGCUUAAAGGCAACAAAAUAGCUAAACCAAAGGGAAUCACAGAGGCAAAACAGAAAAGAGUCCAACAAAGACAAUCAACAAAUUAAAACACUCAAGAAAAAGAAGCACAAGCAGAAAGGAACCUAAGAAGAGGUCUAUAACAGAUUUCAAAAACCAAAAUCUAGAUGAACAAACAAUGUUUGGUCCAGAAUUUAUACCAAAUGAUUUGCAACACAGUUAAUUCUGAAAUUUGGAUGAGAAAAACUACACUCAAAGAUGAAAAAAUUGGAACAAAUUUGAUGCCAAAAGACACAUUAAGCACAGAGAAAUAAAAUAUACAAAAUACGCACAACGUCAACAACAAUGAGUGAAAACGGAAAACUAUGUGGAACAGUGAUCACCAAACAUGUAAGAAUUAUGGUAAUGUUGAAACAACAAAUUUUAAGCUGAAAAUUUUAUUGUCUAUGAUGAACUCAAUGUACAAUAUGCCACAAAUUUGAAGGCAAACGGAGUGGCACUCACUGAGAAAUAAAUCAACUAAGCACAACCAGUGUGGAACACAAUAUAAACUUGAUUUAGAACAGGCAAGUAGAUUUGUACUAUUUAUGGUAAUUUUUUUUAUAACGAACUUCAAGUUGGAAAUUUAGCCAGUUCAAGAAAACAAAUCAAACCACAUAUGAGAAUAUUUUAAAGUCAAAACACUAAGGGAGUUCGGUGCAACAAAUUCAACAUCGAGAGUAAAACUAGUAACUAAACAAAUUGCUCACACAACAAAACGUCUUGACUUUUUCAAUUUAUAACUUUUUUUUAGGUGAAACUAGGACGUGCCUUUUUUUUUUUACUAAGAUAUGGAAACAUAACAAUGGUGUUACACACGAAAUUUCAGAAAAUAUGGAUUGAAAUUGUGAUCAAGAUAAAUUGCGCAAAUCCAAGAGCUAGUAUGAAAUUCUGGACAAAAACUCACACAUAGAAGAUACAACAAAAACAUAGAGUGAAAGAUGACAUGAAGAAGCAAGAAUGUAACGUGACAAGAGACAUGCAAGGUGUGGAAAACCUAAAACAACACCUAAGAGAAGACAAAACAAGAGUGCACACGCCAAACACCAAGAACACACAUGCAGAAAGACAAAAACAACAAGAAUUGACCAUAACCGUGAAAAACAGUGAUAGUGGACAAGAGAACGUGUUUGAUGAAAGAUUUAAAACAAAUGAACCCUUUAACACUAUAAGAAAAUCAUAAAAUAAAAACCAAUUUUUAGAGACCAAAAUAAUUAGUUGCAAUAGUAACUAAAUUAGUGACCNNNNNNNNNNNNNNNNNNNNNNNNNNNNNNNNNNNNNNNNNNNNNNNNNNNNNNNNNNNNNNNNNNNNNNNNNNNNNNNNNNNNNNNNNNNNNNNNNNNNNNNNNNNNNNNNNNNNNNNNNNNNNNNNNNNNNNNNNNNNNNNNNNNNNNNNNCUUCGGUCGGGCAGGUGGCUGGGUGAUGAACUGGGAUCCUUCUCUUCCUUCUGCUUAUCCUUCGGCACUCGGGACUUGGUUGUCGGGUGAACACCGGAUGGUGGGGGUACCUGCGAAGGCACUCCGACGCUCAAGUCAGUAAAGCGGGUGGUUAGUUCUCAGGUAGGUGAACAGUAAUAAUGACAUACCUUACUCCUUGAAAUGCGUGCUAUUUAUAUUAUUCUAGUGGGCCUACCUUGUUGGGCCCGUUUAUCGAGGUGGAUACCGCUUAGGGUUGCAUUACCUAAUUCUUGGUGAUGGAUUAGCUUCACUGAUCUUGGUUUGAGCGUUAAUUGUAAUGGGGUUCGGCCAUCGGCCAAAUUCUCAGGGUGAGGAUCGGCCAUCGGCCAAAUACCCGUGGCCUUCGGCCGUCUCAGUUGAGUCUUCAACGGUCUCGGUCUCUCGGCCAAGUCUACAAAAGGUCUCGGACUCUCGGUCUUUCGGCCAAGUCUCCAAGGGGUCUCAGCCUUCGGUCAUUCGGGCAGAUUGACUGGGCAUCGGGCAGCCAGGUGGGUCCCAGUCUCGCCCGGUACCGGUACACUACCAAAUUUAAAAACUAAAUAAUUGGUAGUUAAAAAUUUGGUUGUUAAUUAGAUACCAAUUUAGAAACUAUUUAAUAAUAAUAAAAACUAAUUUAGAAACCAAUUAUUUUUUUAGUUUCUAAAAUAGUCUCUAAAAAUUGGUUUCUAUUUCAUGAUUUUCUUGUAGUGUAAAUUGUUUAGAAGUGAGAUUAAACGGAGGAACAACCAAAGAAACACAAAAUGCACUGAUUAAAAAGAAGAAAACAACAAGAACAAAACAAAACUGAAAAGAAACAAGAAGUUGAGCAGCAAAAUUGAAAACAAAGUGUUUGAUGAAUGUGUGAACGAAAACAAAAGGCUGAAAACUGAAUUUAAUCGGUGAAAAACAAAUACAAACUGUCGAAAACAAGAUUCAAUCGGAGGAAACAAGAAAUAAACUAUGGAAACACAAGAAAAAUUGAUAAAACAGCCAAGAACAAGUAUGAACAGUGAAGAACAACACUUGACAGAGAAAAAAUAAAUUGGAAGAAUGUACUUAGCUUGGCUUGAGGAUCUUAGGUGCUCUGAUCCACCUGAUGUGAACCAUGGUUCAUACUUGUGAGGAUAGAAGAAAGAGAUGCAGCGGAUAAUGUGAUUAAGAAUGGAGGAAGCCGAAUAAAUGAUAAAUGUUGGCAAUGGUGAGUGUGUGAAGAGGAAGUUGGUGAGCCAACCUUCCAAGUGUCUAUUGGCCUUCUAGGCUUGUAAACAAGAGUCUUGAGAGAGAAUGAAUUUUGUAUUCAGAAUCUUCAUUCACAAUUAUAUCAAAUCUAAUUACACAAUGUAUAUGCAAUAUAUAUAAGCAAACAAGAUAGCAUGUGCCGCAACCCUGUUUUAUCACUUUUUCUUGUACUUGUUCUUGGCUAUUUUAUCACUUUUUCUUGUGUUUCCACCGUAACACUGUUUUCAGUUCUGCUUCUCAACCUCUUGUUUCUUUUCUGUUUUGUUUUAUUGUUGUUUUAUUCUUUUUAAUCGGUGCAUUAUGUGUUCCUCUGUUUAAUCUCACUUGUAAACAAUUUAAACGGUUCAUUUGCUUUGAAUCUUUCAUCAAACACAUUCUCUUGUCCAUGGUCACUGUUUUUCAUGGUUGCAGUCAAUCCUUGUUGUUUUUGUCUUUCUGCUUGUGUGUUCUUGUUGUUUGGCGUGUUCACUCUUAUUUUGUCUUCUCUUAGGUGCUGUUUUAGGUUUUCCAUACCUUGCAUAUGUCUCUUGUCACGUUACAUUCUUGCUUCUUCAUGUUAUCUUUCACUCUAUGUUGUUGAUGUAUCUUCUAUGUGUGAGUUUUUGUCCAGAAUUUCAUACUAGCUCUUGGAUUUGUGCAAUUUAUCUUGAUCACAGUUUGCAUCCAUAUUUUCUGAAAUUUCUUGUGUAACACCAUUGUUAUGUUACCAUAUCUUAGUCAAAAAGGCACGUCCUAGUUCACCUAAAAAAAAGUUAUAAAUUGAGAAAACCAGGACGUUUGCUGUGUGAGAAUUUUGUUCAGUACCAGUUUGAUCGGUGUUGAAUUUGUUGCACCUAACUCCCUUGGUGUUUUGACAUGAAAAUAUUCUCAUAUGUGUUUGACAUGUUUUCUUGAACUGGUUAAAUUUUUAGCUUCAAGUUCGUUAUAAAAAAAAUUACCAUAAAUAGUACAAAUCAACUUGCCUGUUCUAAAUCAGGUUUAUAUUGUGUUUCCACACUGAUUGUGCUUAGUUGAUUUAUUUCUCAGUGUGUGCCUCUCCGUUUGCCUUCAAAUUUGUCGCAUAUUGUACAUCACUUAGUUCAUCAUAGAUCAUCAAAAUUUCAGCUUAAAAAUUGUUGUUUCAACAUUACCAUAAUUGUUACAUGUUUGGUGAUCAGUAUUCCACAUAGUUUCCGUUUUCACUCAUUGUUGUUGACGCUGUGCGCAUUUUGUAUCUUUUAUUUCUCUGUGCUUACUGCGUCUUUUGGCAUCAAAUUUGUGCCAUUUUCUUCAUCUUUGUGUCUAGUUUUUCUCAUCCAAAUUUCAGAGAAUUAAUUGUGUUGCAAAUCAUUUUGUAUAAAUUUUGGACCAAACACUGCUUGUUCGUCUAGUUUUCUUUGCUGUCUUAAGCAAUUUUGUUUAGUUUGCGUUUGUACCUGCUUUAAUUUUCUUUUAAACAUCAGAUACAGUUCUUGUCUGCAUUCAUGACAAUUCUCUUGUUCAAUGUUAGGCAGCAUGCUCAUGCAUUUUUGGUUCUUUGCCUUCUUUCAUUCUUCUUUUAUUUUCUUAUAUUGGUAGGUCUCUAUGGUACAGUAGGUGUGGUAAUUGUGCAUUUAGCUUCACCCUUUCUUUGGGUUUCUAGAAGCAUUUGCAUACUUAAAUUUGAUUUUGUUGUUUUAUGUUCUACUAUGCUCUUUUGACACAGUUUAUACUUCCUUCAGGUGGUAAGUUGUUCUCUAUACAGGUUAUUUCCAUUUUUUUUCUUUACUUUACUUUUUUUCUGCUUCGUGUUUUUUUUUCUAAUGGAUUCUCUUUUUCAGGCAUUGGAUAAAUGGACAAGGGAUCUUGAUGAUAUUAAAUCCUUAUGUCAUAAACUUCUUUCUCAUUCUUCUCCACCAUGUUUAUCCGAAUCUUCUGUUAUGACUUCGAAACAUGUAUCUUUUGCUUAUUUGUUAAUUAGUUCCUCCACACCCUCUUCGCAUGACAUAUUAAUCACUUCUACUCCGUUGCUUAUGAAUACCUUAGUUUCUUCAUCCAUUCCUCUGUCUCCAUCUCAACGUACUAAUCUUUUCCAUGCUCGUUGUAAAGUCUUACUUUUCCUAUGGAUGUCGCACGUAUUCUUUUUGGACGUCCUUGUCAAUUUGAUAAUAAUGUGUUUCAUCACGACACUACUAAUACUCUACAUUUUCGCCACAAUGGCAGAAAACUUACAUUUUUUCCGCUUACACCUACCCAGGUAGCUUGUGAUCAGUCUACUCUCAAAUCAGUUUUUGUUCCUUCUACCCGUCCUUCUCCAUCCUCUUUGUCUUCCACUCUGGUACCUGUUAUCAACCAUUCUCCAGUCCUUCUUCUUCAUUGUAAGGAUGUUUCUUCAGCUCCUGCAUUGUCGUCUCUUCAUCAGGAUGGUCAACUACUUUUGGAUGAAUUUUCAAAUAUUUUUCCUUCUGAUCUUACUCAGGGCCUUCUGCCUUUACGUGGAAUUGAGCACCAGAUUGAUUUAAUUCCUGGAGCUACUUUUCCUAAUCGUCCUGCUUAUAGAGCUAAUCCUAUUGAGACCAAAGAAAUUGAACAUUAAGUAUCUGAUCUUUAAUGGUUGGAUUCAACAAAGCCUUAGCCCGUGUGUUGUUCUUGUUCUUUUGGUUCCUAAGAAAGAUGGUUCUUGGUGUAUGUGCACAGACUGUCGUGCUAUUAAUAACAUUACUGUUAAAUAUUGUCAUCAUAUUCCACGGUUGGAUGAUAUGUUGGAUGAAUUACAUGAAGUUGUAUGCUUUUCCAAAAUUGAUAUGCACAGUGAUUAUCAUCAAAUCCGUAUUAAAGUUGAUGAUGAGUGGAAAACUGCCUUUAAAACUAACUAAGUUUGGUUUGUAUGAAUGCCUUUUGGACUUACGAAUGCUCCUAGUACUUCUAUGCGCCUUAUGAAUCAUGUGUUGCGUGAUUGUAUUGGUCAUUUUGUGGUUGUUUAUUUUGCUGAUAUACUUGUUUAUAGUUCUACUCUGACUGAACAUAUUGCCUAUCUUCGACAUGUUUUCUCUUUCCUUAGGCAACAUUCACUUUUUGCUAACCUUAAAAAAUGUACAUUUUGUUAGGAUACACUUAUCUUUCUUGGUUUUCUUGUUGGGAAACAUGGGGUACAGGUUGAUCCUGCUAAGGUCCAAGCUAUCAAGGAUUGGCCGAUUCCAAAAAAUAUGUUAAUGAGGUUCGCAACUUUCAUGGUUUUAUACUGGGUUUUAUCGUCGCUUUGUGCCUAAUUUUUCAUCCAUUGCUGCUCCUCUUAAUGAUAUUGUCAAGAAGGAUCAUUGGGGUCCUAAACAGGAUUCUUCUUUUCAUACACUUCAAAAUUGUUUAACUCAAGCAUCGGUGUUAGCUCUUCCUGAUUUAACGUCUACAUUUGAAAUUGAGUGUGAUGCAUCUAACACGGGUAUUGGAGUUGUUCUUACUCAACAUGGUCAUCAUCUUAUUGCUUAUUUCAGUAAAAAAUUAAAAGGGCUACUCUGAAUUAUCCUACAUAUUAUCCUACAUAAAGAACUUUAUGUUCUCAUUCGUGCUCUUCAUACAUGGCAACAUUAUUUAGUUCCAAGGAGUUCAUUAUUCACACUGAUCAUGAAUCUUUAAAGUAUCUUCGCAGCCAGCAUACUCUCAAUAAACGUCAUGCCAAAUGGGUUGAAUUUUUGGAGCAAUUUCUAUAUAUGUCAUUAAACAUAAAAAGGGCUCCCAAAAUAUUGUUGUUGAUGGUCUAUCCUGUUGUCUUCGCUCCCAUUUUUUCCAAAUGUCUUCAGAAACCGUUUGAUGGAUUUUAUUUGUCUGGUGGUUAUCUUUUCUUUAAAGGACUUCUCUGUAUUCCCAGUGGUUCUAUUCGUUCCUUACUUAUCACUGAAAGUCAUCAAGGUGGAUUGAUGGACCAUCAUGGAAUUCAUAAGACUUUUGACAUCUUAAAACAAAAAUUUUGUUGGCCUCAUAUGCGAGGAGAUGUGCAGAAACAUUGUGCUAAGUGCAUUUCUUUCCUUCAGGCUAAAUCUAAACUUCAGCCUCAUGGUCUUUAUAUGCCUUUACCUGUUGCUCAUACACCCUGGACAGACAUUAGUAUGGAUUUCAUUCUUGGUUUACCUCUCACACCUCGUGGAUUUGAUUCUAUUUUUGUGGUGGUUGAUUGUUUCAGCAAAAUGAUACAUUUUAUUCUUUUUCAUAAGGUGGAUGAUGUUACUUAUAUUGCUAAACAUUUUUUUCGUGAGAUUAUACACUUACAUGGUUUACCUGCCACUUUAGUUUCUGAUUGUGAUGUUAAGUUUCUUAGUCAUUUUUGGAAAAUUUUGUGGUCCAAAUUGGGAACCAAAUUAGCUUUUUCUACCACAUGCCAUCCACAUUGUUACGUUGCCUUCUUCAUGAUCACAAAACCACUUGGGAUGAACUGCUUUCUCAUAUCGAGUUUACCUAUAAUAGGGUUCUGAAUAGUACUACUAAUUUGUCUCCUUUUCAGGUGGUUUAUGGUUUUAGUCCACGGACUCCUCUGAGUUUAUUAAAUCUUUUCAUUCUCAUGUUAAACAACAAAUUGAUGUUAAACAGCAGAAUCUGAAAUAUGCGGCCAACCGUAAUAAAGGUCGACGACACAUUGUGUUUAAUGUUGGUGAUUGGGUUUGGUUACAUUUAGCUCUGUUUUCCGUGUUUGAAGGGGAUUCAGGAUUUUCAUAGCAAGAGUGAUUGAGAGCCUGCCAGGAGAGUGGUUGAAGCUGUCAAUAACAAUGUUCAUUCGAGUUCAUCUGUGAGUGCUUUUUUUGCAGAGAAUGAAGCUAAUCAAAGGGUUGUGAGUUCUAGUAGUUUAUCGUCGAAUGAACAAACUUCUAAUUUGAAGCUGAGGAGGCAACAAAAGGGAGGAAGAAAAUUGGAGUUUGUGUCAAUAUUACUAUUAAAUAAUACGAAUACUAGAGUUAUUGAAGAAUUGAAUAAUCCUUUAAUAACUCUCUUUUAUAAUUAUCAGUUGUUUCUUUAUACAGUUUGGGUAUAUUUUUAAUAAUUGAAUAUCUUUUUAAUUAUUAGUUGUUUUUUUAUAGAGGUAAAUAACAUUUUUAUUUUGUCUUUGUGUGUUAUGAUUCUAAUAUUAUUUAAUUAUUGAUUAUUUCUCUUCUUAGUUAAACUUGUACUCCUUGUAUAUAUUCGGAUCAUUUGUUUUGAUUUCAAUAACAAAAAGGAAGAGAUUCAUUUUCAUAUCAUUUGUCCUCUUUUUACUUUUUUGUUCAUCGUUCUCUUUUAUUCAUUUCUGUUCUCGAGAUUUUGAUGGUUUUCGGCUCUUCAGGAUUUUAUGCUAUCGCAAGUGUUUAUUCUCUGAAAAAGCUACUGAAGAAGUAAUUUCAUUUAGACUUUGUUGGGCCAUCGUCAAUGUGUGCCAUAGUCAUGAGGUUGAUUCUUAUGAAAGUUUUAUUAACCAUGCUACCAUCCUUCGUGAAAACUCUGGCUUGCGUAGAAAUUUUAAAAUUGAACAAUUGGUUCUGACUAUAACUUGAUGAUUUUGAAAAUAUGAUCGAAUUCACCUUGCAGUGUAUAUUAGAGCGAGAUUAAUGGAUACCUUGUUUCUGCACAGUGUUCGGUUACGAAGUAUAUCGGCUUCUGUUAUGAAAACUCUUGGAUUAAGGUUGCUCCAAUUACUUUGGAUGAAGUUUUCGAGUAAACUAUGAUUAGCUUACAUAAAACUGGUUUUGCGAGAAUGGGUGGCGCCGCCAACACUUUCUGUAACAUUGAAAAAAAUUGUUCACGAUAUUCAUUCCAUUUAAAGGCCUUCGCUUUUCUCAACAACUUGAUAAUUGGUUUGGUUCUUUCAGAAAAAAUGUUACUAAAUUUUUUAAUAACCUGUUUUAAUAAAAAUGUCACCUUUCUUUAAAAUUGUUAUUAAAAGUGUUUAGUAAUAUUUGUUUUCAAUAAAGAUAACAUUAUAAAAAUAUUAUUAAAAAAAAAUGUAAUAUUUUGUAAUAUUUUAACAAAUUUUAUUAAAUUGUUUAAUAAAAAAAUGUACAAAUGUUACUAUUUUCUAAUCACUGUUCUAUAAUAUUGUAACCUACUUAUUAUUGUUGUUAACAAAAAAUUGCCACAACUCUUUCAACAAAAGAUACCAAAACAACAUAAUUAUCAGUUUUGCGGUCCUCAAUUUAUUUUUUACCCAAAUUCUUCUUUCUAAGUGAAAAUCAAAUGUUUUCAUCACAAUCUAAUACUUAUAAUCUAAUACUUAUGCAUAUAUUUUUUAUUUUUUUAUUAACAAUGAAUAAAUUAAAUUAAGAGAUACUUCAGAAAUAUUUUGGAUACUUCAGUUAUGCAUGUGUUAGAUUACCAAAUUCUUCUUUACUUUCAACUUACCUUAUUUAUCACGAAAUUAGGCAUUUCAGUGUUGAAUAAUCAGUUGUGACUUCUCAUAUGACUGGAACAUAUGCACCAAAAAUAAUUUCAUGUCUAUGUUAUUGUAAUCAAAAUGAAGCCUAUAAUUGGUUUGCGAUAGAAAGAGCGGCCACAAGCCUAUAAAUGAUUUACUUGUCCCUCUCAUAAAACAACAACUUUAUUCUUAAAUAUAAGAUAAAAAUUCUAUUACUUUCAUAAGACAUUUGAAGAUACUAACAACCAAUAUAUCUACUAUGGAGGUUUGCUGGUAACAAGCAAUUUAUCACUAUUGAUAUCUUGUCCUUAGCUCAACUGAACGUUUGAUUUUGGAUAACUUUUAAAGUCUCUUCAGCUUGCUUCUCAUUUUCAUAUUGGUGUCUCGACUCCUUGAUUUGUAUGCAAUCAAUUAAAAAUAAAUGAUUUUUUAUAAGUUGGUCAGGUGUAUGCUUUGCGGUUUGUGAGGGGAGUUUGUCUCUGUUAGAUGGGUUGAAUGACAAAUGUUAAAAAUGUAUAAGAGUCUGACCACUCCUGAAGUGGUCUAUAUUUAUUUUUUUUCUUGAUAAAAAAACAAACAAUAUAUCAAAUAUUCUCCUUCCCAUUAAGCUCCCAAAGCAAAACAAGUGUAGAGCAAUAUGCAAGAAGAAUGAUAUUGUUGUCAUCAAAUAUACAAUGAACAUACAAAAUAUAGUGUGAUAAAAAGUAUAAAAAAUUUGAUUACCUAAUUAUCAAUUGAAAUUUGUCUGCUAUUUAUUGAUCUAUAUUCAAGUUAGUCCUAUCAAAAUGAAUUUUUGUUUUACAUUCCAUUCUUCCUAUUUGUUUCCUUUGUACAUCACUAAUUUCUCUACUUGUAUUACAUAGAGGUUAUUGACAAACAAUUCAAACAAUGAAACAAAACAAAGGAAACAAAAUACUAUUAUAGAAUCAACAAUAAACAAAGAAUUCUUAUAAAUGAAAACUAUGAUCUUAUAAUAAAUUACACCAACAGUUUUUUAUUUACUGAUGUAUUGAAAUAAGGUUUUUUUUUUCUUAUUCAAAUGUCAAUCAAUAUUAAAUUACUUAAAAUUGAAAAAAAAAAGACUUAGACUUACUUCAUUAGUUCAUAGACUUCCACACCCUAACAACCUUUUUAUUAAUUCAUUUUUUAAAAUAAAGGUUAAUUAAUAAAUCACUUUAAUACUUAAAAUUUAUCAAUUUCUUGAAUUUCACCUACUCAUUCAAAAUUCUUUGAAUGAACUUCUUUUCUUUAUAAUUAUUUUCAAAUAUAUCCUUGUAAUAAUGAUCAUUAUUAGUAAUAAAUCAAAAGAAUAAAAUUAGAAACAUAGUUUAGAGAAGUAAGAUUUACAAGAAGAGUUCAAAGGUAGUGGAUGGAUAUUUGAGUGUCUUAAGUUCUUUUCAAGUGUGACAACUCCAACAUUAAGGUCUUUAAGUUAGCAUAUUAUUUAGUGAUUGUAAUAGGAAAUUUGAUUGAGUUUUACUCAAGAUUAAUGGUUAGAGAUUCAAACGCCAAAUUAUAUUACAUGAGUAGUGAAUGUAAACUUCAUUUUAUAAGUCAAUUUUGUGAUGUUGAACUAGACAUUAAUAAACUUUUUAAGAUGACAUCAGACUUUAUUCUAAAGAAACUUUAUUCUAAUGAGAUAUGUAGAACUGCGUUUGAAAUGCUCAAUCUUUUAUGCGACGGAAUAUAUUAAAGAUUUCACAAUAAUUAGAAAUAAGAACAAAUUAAUAUAUAUAUAUAUGAAUAAGUACAAAUUUCACCUUACAACAACAAACAACAGUAAAAUCUUCUUUAAGUUGUCAUUAUAGUAACCAUUUGAAGUUCGAAGAUACUCAAGAAAUCAUAUACAUCUCAUCAACCUCCUUUCUUCUUUAAUUUAAUUAAAUUACAAUAUAAAUAUUUUUUUAAAGUUUAUUAUUUGGUUAUUACUAGUUUUCGUUAUGUGAAGAAGGAUCAUGGAUGUCUACAAUAUAGUGACAUUUAUAUUACUAAGAAAAUUAUAGAACCGCUUUUUAAAAUAAAAUAUUAUAUUAUAAUAAAAUACUAAUUUACUUAAGUGUGAAAUGAUGGUUUAAAAUAUCAUUUUCACAAUGUCGUCUCAUUUCAGUAACCAAUGAUAAUGAAUGUAUUCAUAUAAUAUAACAACAUCUAAAGGAGCAGUAAAAAAUACUUUGGAUAAAAGUAAUUAUUAUCUUGAUUUUAUUCCUGACUUACAUAGCACUUUAUCAUAAAUUCUGUGGUUUACAACACACCCAGAAUACUUAUUCACUAAACUUCAACAGGAAGAAAAAAAAAGAGAAACAAGCAACAAAUUACACAAUCAUUGUCAUUCACGUUGGUAACAGAAAAUUUAUGGAACAUAAACGACAAUGGGGCUCCUUACCUGAUGAGUGCCAUCAUCCCAAGUCAAAGAAAAAGAAUCCAAGUUUGCAUUAAUGGUUCCUUGAAUCCUAACGGUGAAGGACAGGCUCUGACCCACAGAUGUGAAGGUCAAAACAUUUGGCACUACUUGGAUGUUUAAAGAAGAUGGAUAUCCAGAUAUUAUUGCCCUAUAUGUGGAUCUAGCUGAUCCAACAUUAGUGACAGUUCUACCGUAAGUGACAUCGUUGUAACUUGAGCGAGCGGUUGCUAGAGCAAAUGAUGGGAGGUUAAGGUUGAAAACAGAUCCUCUAUUUGCUGAUGUACAAGUAUUCUUAUCUCCCGUAAUUCUUCGCAACAAUACUGUACUAUAACCUUGUCCACACAGAAAAUUAAUAUAAUCAUUCGGACCAAGAUCAUAAACUAGUCCAGGAUUUACUGCCUUCAAAGGAUUGAUUUGCCCCGCACCGUAAGCAAAUUCAGCAUCCGAAUUAAGUGCAGGAUUCAGAGGGGUAGCUGUAAAUGAUAAUCCAACAAAUUUGGUCGUAAACAUAUAUAUACUUGGCCAUUAAGAUAUACCAUAAAAUAAUUGAACUUAAUCUAGUUUUUUCCAACAUAAAUGUACUUUAGGGUGAUAAUGCAUAAGGUUUUAGGUUAUCAUAUUUAAGGAUAUGAGUUACUCAUGAUCUCACAACAAAAAUAAAAGUUCCAUAUCUAUAUAUGUGUAAAUGAAAUCAUACGUGUGUAUUCAAAUUAAAAACCCCAACAAUAACCCAGGUGAGGAAAGAAAAGAAAGAACUAGCCUUUUUAAAUUAACCAUGAAGGGUUCUUGAAUUGUGAGAUAAGAAAAGGGAAUAAAAUGAGUUUAGCAUGCACGGAUGACAAGGAGGCCAUUACCAGUUGUCAUCAAUGCGGAUUUAAGUACAGCAGGAGACCAGCUGGGAUGAAAUGAUUUGACAUAAACAGCUGUUGCAGUAACAUGAGGGCAUGCCAUUGAAGUUCCAGAUAUUAUAUUCGUAUACGAUGUUCUCCUAUCUCCUUUAACUGAAGAAAUAGGAGAAAUUGGAGACCAUGCAGCCAGAAUGUCAACUCCUGGAGCUGCUAUAUCAGGCUACACCAUCAAGAAAUAACUUAUAUAUAAGCAAAUGAGCUUGAAUUGGUUGGAUUGAUUGUAUAUUGUACCAUGAAGUUACCUUAAGAAUGUUUGGAGUGAUCCUAUUGGGACCUCUUGAUGAGAAAGGAGCAAUGUAAGGGGCUGCUGAGUCUAUUCCUUCGUAACUCUUGGAUAUGAUAGCUGCUGGAUUACUACAAAUUGGUGACAUGACAUAUAAAUUAGUUAAUUCAAGACUAAUUGAGCAAAAUUUUAUAGCACUUAUGUAUGAUCUUUAUGUGUUGAUAAAAAUUUUCGUACCUUGUUGACUUUAAAUAAUUAUAUACGGAUUGUCCAUCAUUUGCGCUAAUGUGCAUUGCUGGCAAUGCAAAUACAUAUGCGGCAACUAAAGGCAAUGUACUGCUGAAUAUGACACCAGCAGCCCCAGAAGCAAAUCCCACACGUUCGGAAGGAUAAUAGCCAUCACAUAAAACAAUUUUCCCUCUCACCAAAGCUCCAUUUAAAGAAUUAUCAAUGCACAUACUAAGCAAUGGUAAUGUUAGAAUGGAGUUUUGAAUUGUAAUAGAAAGAUUUGAAACAAAUUACCAAAUAAUAAGGCUAAAUUACUUUGCUAAUUCCUUUAAUUAUUUAAAAUAUUCAAUUCCCUUCAGAUACUAAAACAAAAUAAUUAAGUAAAAACUAAUUUUUUUAAAAAAAUAAUUAGUCACUAUAUUAAUUAAAUUAAUUAUUAUUUAAAAAUUAAACAAAUUAUUAAUAUAUAAAAUAAAUUUUAUUAUUAAUAAAUAAUUUUUAAAUUUAUACUAAUAUCAUAUUUAAAGAAUUAUUAAAGGUUUACAAUUUUAUUAUAUUUAAAAAUCAAAACUUGAAUUUUUUAAAACUAAUUACAAUUUAUUAUAGUGACCUUUUCUACAAUGUGUAAUUUUUAUUUUUUUAAAUAAAUUAUAAUAUUAUUAUAGUGAUAAAUGUUUAAAAAAAAUCUUCACUAUUUUGUAAAAUUAAAAUUUUUAAUCGUUAGAAAGUGUUAAUCAUUAAUUCAAUAUUGCUUCUUUAACUGUGUCAACUUGAUUAGAUGGAAAAGACACAUUGAAUAUUUAAAGAUAAUUAAGACAUGAAGUUGAACCCUUUAAAAUAGAGAAACUAUAUAAAAAUUUAUAAAUAAAUAAAGAAAGUAAUAAAAGCAAUUAAAAAGAGAUAUUGGUAAAUGUUGGUACCUGGAUUCGGAACUAUUAAAUCCAGGAGCUGGUACAUCUCCUCCAAAAAUUAAAGGGUAACCAUUACUCUGUGUAGGAAUAAAUGUAUUCACUGAAACUCCCUGCAUAUAUUGAGAGAAAUCUUUUGUUACUUUUUUAAUAUUUUAAAAAAUAAGUAAAAGAAUUUAAAGAGAUAAUUACCUGGAUGAUCUGGCCAUUACCCAGUUUGAGAUCAGUGAAAAACUUUCUGUCUAUAGUGCUGGCAGCCACAGAAAGGAACCAGGGUGCAAGAUUCACCAUUGUGUAACGAUUUGGACCCAAAUUGUCUGCUGUUUUAGAAGUUAAUAUGCCACUCUUCAUUGCAUGGUAAGCUCCUAUUGCAGAUUCAUCAUCAAAAUAUUCCAGGUGUUGGACCUUUGUUGGUCCCACUGAAAUAGAAAUAAUAUCAACACCAUCCGCAAUGGCUGCAUCAUAUCCUGCAAGAAUGUCAGUAUUCAUACAACCCGAUGUCCAACAAACUUUAUACACAGCAAUGCGUGCUGAUGGAACUCCUCCUCUUGCUAUUCCUGACCCAAGCCCAAACAGAUUUGCAUUGGGAACACGGUUUCCAGCUGCAGUGGAUGCACAGUGAGACCCGUGACCAGAAGUAUCAGUUGGAUUUAUGAUGUCCUCUGGCUCGAACUGACCCCCAAUACGAAAAUAUCUUGCCCCAAUUACUUUGCUACAAACAAUUCAUAAAGCAAGCAUUCAUAUAUAAGUAAUUUAAUGGUUACUUAUAUCUUUUAAUAAUUAUUACUUUGAAAAUUUUAUUACUUAAGUUUAGGUCUAUGUGUUUGGAUCCAAGUUGAUUUACUAUUGGCAUGAAAAUAUUUAAAAUGUGAGUUUAAAAUUUGAAACCGAACAUGUUGUUUAUGUAUGUGUGUUAUAGCAUGUUAUAAGAAACAUUACUUACUAAUUGCAAGUGAAGUUAUCGCAUUUUCCCUUCCAUUUCUGUGGUGGUGGACCAAAGCCUCCAUCAGUAAAGCUACCGGAAUUAGCCCAAAUUCCACUAUCGAUUACUCCAACAAUUGUGUUACUUUCUACAUUUGUUCUUGGGACAUUUUCAGGGAAGUUAAGGAAGUCCCAGGACCUUGAUGUUUGGACACUGUAGACUCUUUCUGGAAUAACAGACACCACACCAUCCAUUCCUGUCCAACAAUUCCAAAUUUUCACAAAUCAUAAUUAGAGUUGCACAGAGAAUGACAAUCAUAUUAAUGUAGGAAUAUGACAGGAACCAAAACCAAAAAUAUAUUUAUGAAUAAAGCAAAAAGCUGAUGAAAAUGUGGUCUGAGCUAAUAGACACAUAUCUGUAAUUGGAAUAUUUGAAGUACUCUGUUUAUUAAUAUAUUUUAGUUCUUUUUUUGAAAAAAAAAACUUACCUUUCAUUCUUUCUGAUUCUUCUUUGGUUAGACUCGCCACAAAUCCAUUGAAAGUCUUGUAGCGGUGCAGCAAAGUAUCUGAUGCAAAUUUGCUGGAUGGAUAUAUAUAUCAUAUGGAAUUUUAAUUAGUUAAAAAAGUUCAUAUUCUUGAUUGAUAAUAGGUUUAAAAUAAAAGAAUUGUUCUCUUUUUAGACAAUGUUAAACUAAGCCUCAAUUGUGAGUGAAAAUCUGUUAAAGUGAGUUCUGUAGAAACAAUUAAGGGUUAUCAACCUGCCCAGAACACUUUGAACCAUACUGGUGUGAAAUGAAUCUGUGAUUUCCAUGUCCUUUGGAUAUUCUCCCAUGUAGACUAUGUAAAGCUGUAGUAUGAACAAGAUAAAUUAAAAAAAUAAAACAAUUAAAAUAAUAGUCCCGCUAGGUGAAUUUCACGUCGAUGCUUAAACAUUGAAAAUAUUAUGAUGCAUAAAAUCAUUUUUAGGUUAAUUUGUUCAUUUUGAAUAUAAUCCAAACUCUUUUUUACUUGAAAGUAAUCCAAUAUUUUCUUUAAAAAAAUAUGCAUUAUUAGAAUUAUUUUAAAAAAUCAUAAAAAAUAAAAGCUAAGAGUAAUAUAUGAAAAGAUAUAACUUCUCACAAAUAAAAAGAAUGUGAAAAUUAUUUGAGGAAAAAAAAUAUAAGUACAAAGUAUUGUACAAAAGAGAUACUUAGAAAUAUAUGUUUGCAAAAGUAUAUUUAUUUGUUCAGGUUAAACAAUAUUGAAUAUGUAUUAUUUACUUUCCGAUCAUCUUUAGAAAAUGAGGGAGUCAAUAGCAGAAUGCAUGUAAGAAUUUGAAGAAGAUGCGACAAUAUUAAAGCCUUCAUUUUUCGCUGACAGUAAUCUUGAUUAAAUGAUGAAUGUGUGUUUUCAAGAUCUUUCAACCUGUAAGUAAAUUAAUUUAUUAUGUUAAGUAUAUAUUUGAAACACAUAUCGCAUUGCUCAUACCCUAAAAUUUGAUAUUGGAAAUUGUAAAUAGAAGUAUAAAUUGAGAAUGAAAACAGUAACAAAGUAGAUUAAGCACAACAAAUUUAUUUUAAUAUAUAUUAGUAAGGUAUAACAAAGUGGAUUGAGAAGUUAUACAAUGUACUAAAAAGUUGGUUUUGUGAUUUUUUAUUUAUUUUUAGAUAACUGUUAUUUUAUCAAUUCUAGUGGUUGAAGUUGAGUUGAAUUGGAUAGGUUGGUGAAUGUGUUUAAUAUAUUAUUUUCUUGAAAAUUUAUUUUUUCAUAUAUUUUAUACAUUUUUUUAUAUAAAUGAUAAAUAAAUAUAAAUCACCUAAGGAAUGACUCAACUUUUAUACAGAAAAUAAGAAGAAUAUAGGAUCUCACUCUCGAGUCUAUCCCAAACUUCCAAGAAAAACUACCUACAAAUUCUUACCCAAAAAUAACUAAUGAGAUCCGUCAUUGGCAACAACCAGGAUAUAUCAUUACAUCAAAUUAUAAAAUACAAACAAAUAUAAUCAGUUCACUAAACAUUAAUUAAUCUCUAAAAGUAAAGAACCUUUAUUUUUAUCCUCUUUACAAAAAACACAACAUCUUAACAUGUCACGAGCACAACAAAUAAAAAAAAAUAUUAUUCUAAUAUAAAAGGCAUUUUACACAUAAAAUUUUAAACUACUGUAAAUUUUGUCAUUUAAUUUAAAUUUUAAAUGAGAUUAACUUUUCACUAUGGUUUUAAAUUAUUACUAAAUGGGGUCUUCAAGGCAGCAUGUAUGCUGAAAAGUUAAAUAACUUUGUAUUAAUUAAUUUAAAUACGGAAUAAAUAAUAAAUAUAAAAAAGUAUGAUACAUUCUACUGUUUUAAGUGGUUUUUCAAGUCAAAGCACUGACUGAAAUUAAUUAGAUGGUUUGAAAAAAAAAAUCAAAUACAAUUUGAUAAAGUUUGGUUUAUGAUGAUUUAUAAUUCAUUGUAUUAUGAGGUGAACUUUAAGUCUAACUUAACUUCAUAAAAUUAGUUCAUGAAGUGAGCUUUUACACCCACUUAUUUUCUCAUCUCUAAUCAAUAUGGGAUCUACAACAAAGUGAGUUUUUAGUUUUUAAAUUGAGAUAUAAAUGAAAUAAUAGAAUUAGAGCAUUGUUAUAAAUAUAGAACCAGAGAACAGAAGCAAUAGAAAAUUAUUAGGAAAAAGAGCUAUAAAUGAAUUAUGUAAUAAAGAUAGGAAUAGAUGAGAGACAUACACAACUUAAGUCGACCGCACAUGUUCAUCUAUCUUGAAGAAAGGAUGUGAAUACACACUCUGUCUCACCUUUUAUAGCCACUACAUUCGAUGGCUUCAUGGUCCACGUUUUGCACAAUCAAUUUUCAAGGAGAAAAAUUAAUUUGAUUGAAUUUUUAAAAGAAAAAACUAUACACUCCAAUAGAAAUUGGAGUUUCAUAAUAUAACUAUACUUCUUUAUAUUAAUCCUUUUUUUAAAUAUUCAUUCAGAAGAUAAUAUUUUUAACUGUGUAAUGUAUUGAAUAUUUUUUUCUAAAAUAUGUUUUAAAAAGAUAAAGAAAUUUUUUUAACUGUGUAAUGUAAUUCUUUUAACACAUGAAACAAGAAUUAUUUUUUUAAAUAAAAUUUUUUAUAUUAGACAUCACUAAGAUUUUAGUUAGACUCACAACUUAAAUAAAAAUAAUUAUUAAAUAUUAUUAAAAAAAAUAUGAAGAAUUAAACCGAAAUACUCACAACUUAAAUAAAAAUAAUCAUUAAAUAUUAUUAAAAAAAUACAGAAAAUUAGACCAAAAUCCAUAUAACUCAAUUCUUAAUCUAAAAUAGCACUUAAUUGAAACAUUGAGAAACUCAAUUUAAGGUUUUUUAAGAAUUUACCUAUGAAAUAUUUUAAUAAUAAAAUUUGGUAGAAUAUUUUAAUAUUUAGUUAUUUUAAAUACCUCCUUUAAUAUUUGCAAUACAUGAAAGGUAAUUUUGUUUUUUUUAUAAAGAUUGACUACUCGUACUUCUUUUAUUUAUAUUUUCUAUUAUUGAUAAAAAAAAUAUAAAAGUAGUUUUCACACACUUGGAAGAGGACAUUAGGGAUAAGUGUUUGAAGUCCGCAAAGCAUUGGUUGAGAAGAAAUUAAAUAAAGAUAAAAAGUUUAAAUUAAUUUCUAUAGUUAGAAAAGAUAAAAGUGAAAAUAAUUUUAAAGUUUUUUGAAAUGCUGUACAGUUCUUUCUUAUUUUUAAUUUACUUCAAUCAAAUUUCUUUAAAUUUUAUUUUAUUUUUUCACUCUUAUUUGUACACUUUUCUUUAUUUUUAUUCAUUUUAUUUAUCUCUUCUUUAACAAAGAGGUAUACAAAAAUUAUGUUAUUCUCGUCAUUAUAAAAAAACCAUCAAAUUAACUUAUGAAUAAACAUCAAAUUUAAUUAAUCAAAUUUGUUUAUAAAUAUUAGUUGAAUACUAUUAAAUUCUAAUGUGAUAAAAAAAAUUAAAAAAACUUUAAAAUAAUAAUAUUGAAUAAAUAUUUACAUUAGUGGAAGAUUAGCAUCACUUUAACAAUGCUAACUCUUUCUAACUUCUUUUAAUAAGUUAAUUUAUUUAUGAUGUCAAACUAUCAUCAGAAUUAACUAAAAUAGAUAAGAUUAACAUUAGUAUAGUUGACACUAAAUUUAUUUAAUUGAAUAUUUAUAUUUAUUUAAGUUAGUAUCAACUUAGUCGGUAUGUUAUGAAUUUGUGUACAUUUAAGACAACAAAUAAAAAUUGUAGAUUAUUUUUAAUCUAAAGGUCCAGAUUUAAAGAUAAUAAAUCUCAUCACUCCAAAAUUUUCUCUCUCACAUUCUAUAUAAACAUCCUUAUAAUCAUUUCCUUUAUUCACAUUCAUAAAUCUCCUCAGACUCAUUUCCUUCAUCAACAUUCAUCUCUUUUAUCCACUAAUCUCCUUCACUCACACUCAUUUUCUUCAUCCUCACACAUCUAAUUCAUCCACACUCUUCCCCUUCUUUCUUUCAUUCACAUUCACGUACUUCAUCCACGUUCAUCUUAUUCCUCCACUGCAAUUUUUUUUUAUACUUUAUUUUGUUGAAAAUGGGGGCUCCUCCCAAAAAUAAGUCCUUUUCUCUAAUUUAGAUUCCACACCUAAACAUUAUUAACCCAUUCCCUAGAGUUAGAGAAAUUUCCUACUUAUUAGCGAACAAAGAAAAGAGCCUCGUGAAUCUACAUUUCAAGGCCCCAAACUCACCCAGUUGUCAUCCCAUAAAAGGAUUUCUCUCCCAUUUCCAACCUCCCAGUUAAAGCAGUCUUCGAACUUCCCUCCCCAAUCCUCUGACUUCUAAAUCUCCUUCAAAACUUUCCACCAAGAGAAACUUUGUAGUUAUUGUCCCUAUGCUCUUUCAAGCUUUUCCAACCUCCAUACUUAGACUCGAUGAUCUCCAACCACAGCCCACCCUUGUCUGAACUCAGACGCCAAAUCCACUUUCCCAAUAAGGUCACAUUGAAAAGCCUAAUAUUGGUAAUGCUAAACUCGCCCGCUUCCCGAAACUCGCAGACUUAUUCCCAAGCAGCUUAGGCUAUCUUCCUCCCUUCAAACCCCACCUCUAAAGAAAAUUCCUCUACAGACUCAAGAUCUUCUUCAUCAUAGUAGAAGGCAUCUUGAACAAAGAAAGAUAAAAUAAUGGGAUAGACGACAAAAUAGACUUUAUUAAGCAAAUCCUCCCUGCCAUUGAGACGAAUCUACCCUCCCAUCUAUCAGUCUAUUCUUCAUCCUCUCAACCACUUCAUCCCAAAACACGUCACUCUUAUGACACCCUCUACUGGCAUCCUCAGGUAUUUGAAAGGAGUUUUCAUCACGUCACAAUUGAGAAUUGUCGCAAAACAGAGGAUCACAGUCUAAUCGACCCCCACCCCGCAAAUUAUGCUCUUCAAGAAGUUCACCUUUAGACCAUAAGCCAACUCGAAACAAUUCUGAAUAACCUUUAUGUUAAACAAACUUUUAUAACUUGCUUUAUAGAAAAAUAAAGUAUCAUUUGCGUAUUGAAGCAUGUUCACUUUAAUCUUCUUACUCCCGAUCUCCAAGCUCUCAACCAAAUCUUUCUAAACCGCUUUCCUAGAAACCCUAACAAGGCCUUCAGUUGCUAUAAGGAACAAGAACAGGGUCACCUUGCCUCAAUCACUUCUUCAAAAUAAAUUCCUUAACCGGGUUUCCAUUUACUAUAAUUAACAACGACGUUGAUUCUAGACAAGAUUUAAUCCAAGAAAUCCACUUUUCACAGAAUCUGAGCCUUCCUAACUUAUAAUAAAUAAUUUCCCACCUCAUGGAUUCGUAAGCCUUCUCAUAAUUCACCUUGAAAAAGACACAACUUUUCUUCUUCCUUUUCAUCUCAUCUAGAACUUCGUUGGACACAAGAAUGUUAUCCAUUAGCCCCCUUCCUUCAAGGAAAGUAAAUUGGCUAAAAUCGAUGACUUUACUAAUCACCUUUUUCAGCCUGAGAGACAAAAUCUUUGAUACGAUUUUGUUCACGCACCCUACCAACGAAAUGGGUUUGAAAUCACUAAGUUAUUGCGAAUUAUCUGACUUAGUAAUCAAACAUAUAAAUGAAGCGUUUUACCCCCUAGGCCAUUUACAUCUGACACAAAAUCAUUCAUAGCCGAUAGAAUAUCCUCCUUUAGACAGUCGCAACAGAAGUUAAAAGCGUCUGGACCAAGGCUCUUCAAACAAGCACAACUCCAAACUGUAGUUUUAACUUCCUCUUCAGAGAAAGCUCCUACCAACAACGCAUUGUCAUCACUAGAGAUAGAAUUAAAACAGUCAUUGUCCAACCUGACCUGAGGCCUAGAAACCCCAUCGAACUUGGCUUUGAAAAAAUCUCUAACAUUUGCCUUAACCACCUCUUUAUCUUCGCACCACUGAUCAUUCUCAAGAAUGUCAUUGAUCUCGUUCCUCACUCUCCUCCACUCCACGAUCAAAUGAAAGAAUUUUGUGUUUAGAUCGCCUUGUUUCAGCCAUUUAAGACGACCUCUUUAUUGCAAAACAACUUCUUGUUUGAAAAAUUUCCCACUUUGUUUUGCUAACAAGAGUCUCCUCACCUCCCUCUCAGGCUUAUCUAGAUCACUUUCAUAAUCUCUUGCAUCCAGGUCUUGAAUUUUCUUUUGCAGAUCUUUCCCUACUUGGUUAACAUUUCCGAAAAUAUCUCUAUUCCAGAUUUUCAAAUCUGAUUUCAACUUUUUCAUUUUUUUCUUUUAAAACAAGCAACCCUCCACCUUGCACCUCAUAGCUAUGCCAUUUACUGGGAACGGAUUUUCUAAACCUACCAUCAGUUUGUCAAACAUCCAAACUUCUGCUUGUCAUUUGAAAACAAUUUCUUCUCCACAUCGUAAUAAUCUCUCCUACAUUAUUAACAACACCAUUUUUAUUAAAAGUCAAUAGUUACAUCUAUAAUCUAGUAUCUUAGGGUUUAGGGUUUAGAGUUUACAUUAAACAUAUAAGAAUUUAUACAUACAUGAAAAAGUCUAUUAAAAUAAUAUAAAUAACUUAAUUUUUCUUAGAUAAAUAUUGUCCUUUUAUUAUACAUUUAUUCAUUUAACUUUUAAGUAUGAAAGUGUCUUAUGUACUACACGCUUGGAAAUAAAUUUUGAAUGAAUAAAAGUUUGCAGAUAAAUUGCAAAUCAUAAUUCUUUAUUCCAUUAUAAAUUAUAUCGUUUUAAACUUUAUCCUUUUGAAAUAUUAUUUAGGAUAAAAAUAAUAAAAAAUACAAUCAAAAUUUAUUAAAAGUCCUUAAAAUCUUUAGAUUAAACUUAGUUAUUUAUAAAUUAUUUUUAAUAAAAAUUCAAAGGUAAAAAUCUCACAAUAAAAUUUAUAAACAUUUUUAAAUUUUUAGGUCAAUUCAUACACAAUAAUUUAUAAAUAAUUUAUAGAUAAUAUGUAUGUAAUUACCUACUAAUCUCGUCUAUAUUUAAUUACAUGUGAAUGUGGUUGAUAUGUAUGGAUGAAAUUUAUAGAUAAAUUAUGUACAGAUGAGAUUUAUAUAUAAAUAUGUGGAUGAGAUUUGUAGGUAAUUAUUGACCUCACUUCUUACCUUCUAACCUCAUCCAUCUAAAUAAACAAAAACCCUCGUCUUCACACAAAAUCUAAUAUUCCAACUUAUAAGGAAGAACUAAGUGAUAGAACUUUAGAACUAAGUGGUAGAACUUUUGCUUCAAAUAUAUCCCCAACAUACUAUUGCACUCUAUCAUACCACAUUAUUUGGAUAAAUGUAUUAUAGAAAAACCUUCUUACAUACUCUAAUUGAUCUUGAAUACAAUUAUCUGCGCUAUGUGUGAGUUAAAGGAGGAAACAUGUCAACAUACUUUCAUUGAAUGUGAUGCUGCUCAGAGGGUGUGGGUGUUAUGUCUUAGAUGGAUCGGCAUUGUAUCGGUCCAGCAGAAUACCAUCUUAUCUCAUUUUGAAAGUUUUUACCUACCCCAACUUAGUAGUAGACAAAACCUCUUUUGGAAAGGAGUGUGGGCAACUACAGUGGCAUGUAUUUGGGAGCAAAGGAAUUUCGUUGUCUUUAGACAAGGGAAAGUAGAUGUGGAGGAGAUUGUUCAGAAAGUCCAGCUUAAAUCCUGGCAAUGGCUAAAGCACAGGGGCUCCUCUUUUAACUAUUCUUUUACAGAUUGGGUGCUGAAUCCCCUUAUCUGCAUUAGAAGUUACAAAUAAAUGGGGAAGGAUGUCAUGAUCGCCGGUCGAUGAAUUGGCGCUCUCCAUAUGUGUGUAGUCGGUGGUCGCCAAAGAUAUGCAAGGUCAACAUGAUCGCCGGUUGAUGAAAAGGCGAUCUCCAUGCGUGCGUAGUCGGUGGUCGUCGAAGGUAUGCAAAUGUCAACAUGAUCGCCGGUCGAUGAAGCGGCGUUCUGGUCAACAUGAUUGCCGGUCGAUGAAACGGCGAUCUCCUAGCGUGCGUAGUCGGUGGUCGUAUGCAAAGGUCAACAUGAUCGUCGGUCGAUGAAACAACGAUCUCCAUGCGUGCAUAGUCGGUGGUCGUUGAAGGUAUGCAAAGGUCAACAUGAUAGCCGGUCGAUGAAGGGGCGUUCUCCAUAGGUCAACAUGAUCGCCGAUCGAAGAAGCGACGUUCUCCAUAUGUGUGUAGUCGGUGGUCGCCGAAGUUAUGCAAGGUCAACAUGAUCGCCGGUCAAUGAAACGACGAUCUCCAUGUGAGCGUAGUCGGUGGUCGUCGAAGUUAUGCAAAGGUCAACAUGAUCGUCGGUCGAUGAAACGACGAUCUCCAUGUGUGCGUAGUCGGUGGUCGUUGAAGUUAUGCAAAGGUCAACAUGAUCGCCGGUCGAGGAAGCGGUGUCCUCCGUAUGUGUGUAAUCGGUGGUCGCCAAAGUUAUGCAACGUGCAUGGGUAACUCGUCGUAUGGCGAGGUGAAUGUAGGUGGUCUCGGUUCUGGGUGUUUCGGUAAAGUUGAAUAUUGCUUUAAGGUAACCUGUUGGUUAUAUUUUUGGGUUUGGUUUUCUCACUUUAAAGUUGUUCUGCUCCAACCAUAAAGGAGAGUUUCUUUUGUGGAUGAUAUAGGAGGUCCACUUCAAGUUACUGUAUAUGGGUUGGGAUACCCCUGAAGUAUCCCCUUUAAUUUUAUUUAUUCAUUGCUGAUAAAAAAAAAACAUUUAAGAUACCUAUUAACCAUGCUAGUCCUACAUAACACAUUCUUAUUUUCUAUUAUAUAAAAAAAACCUCCCUAAUAACCCCAAAUAUGACUUCCAAUGUACCUUUAUACAAACAAUUUAUAUACAUCACUACAUUCCAGAAAAGAAAAUAAAAAUAAAGGAAAAAAGAAAACUCAGCGAAACCUUUAAAAAUAUCGCAUAUCAACCAAGUAUAACAUUAUUAGAAAUUCAUUAAAUAGAAAUUAAUUUUAUUGAUAAAAAAUUAUUAAUUUUUAUAUUAACUAAAUUAUAUAUUAUUUUAGAGACUAAAAUAUAUGUUGAAUUGUUGGAUUCUGAAAUAGAAUGUAGGGUAUGAAAAAUAUAAAAUUAAUGUGUAUAAUGGUUGGAAAAUAUAAAAUAUGUGAUAUUCAAAAUUGGUAGUUGGGGUGAUUUUAAAUAUAACAUGUGUUAAAUUCGAUAUUAUAUUCUGUUUUAAUUUUUGUGAAUUUUGUUCUUUACGAUGGCAUUGCUCAAGCAAUGGAUAUGCACACAAGAAGAUUUAAAAACAAACAAAUUUGAAAAAGAAGGUUUGGAAACAAAGAUAAAGUUGAAUACAAAGCCCAUCGUUUAUGAAGAAGGCCAGAGUAUAGGACACACCAGUCACGUUGAAACCGACGUAUACAUGCAUAAUGUUUAUGAAAAAAACAAAUCCAUCUUUUACCGAAUACAGCAUGAAUUUCUAUAACAUGAAUUCCAGUAAAUAUUAAAAAUAGAUUUUACAGAAUAUAUCUAAAUAAAAUUUUGUUUUGAUAAUAAUAAAAUAUAGCAAUGAUCAAUUAUGUAAUUAAUUAAAUUAACUUUCAAAAUUGUUUUUGUAAGAAAACAAACACUAAAAAAAUUAUUAAAUAAAAAAUAAUUUUAGAUAUCAAAAUAAUUAGUUAUUAUGUAAUUAAAUUAGAGAACAUUUUACAAAAUAAAAAAAUUAUUGGUAUUCGGAGUAGUUUCUAUUAUUAAUAAAAAAUUAUAAAAUAAUUUAUAAAUUUGUAUUUUUUUUAUCAGCAAUAAAAAAUCAAUAAAUGGGAACCACUUUAGGGGUGGUCCAACCUUUUUACAAACACACAUACAAUUUAACUCCUAACUCACCCAAAACCGCCGGUCAAAAGACCAACCAAACCAAGCGCUAACUAGUUUUACCGAAUCAGCCGUAUACAGGCCAAAGGAUCCAAAACCCAACAGGGAUAGGAAAAAUAAACUUCGCGGGACUUUGCAGUAAUCCAAGACCACACCUUUACUUGUGCUAAGGCAAAAACUUCUAACACAUCUGCCACUCCUCCAUUAAAGACGACCGAGUUCCUAUGCUUCCAAAUUUCACUCACAAUUCCAACCAAAAUUGCCCCCCAAACAUCAUUAACCGAAACAGAUGCCUGACUCAACCUGAAUUGAAUAAAAUUUUGCAUUGGAUCCAAAUGGAUUACGAACACACUCCAAGCCACUCAAAGCAAAGGCACCAGACCCUCCAAGCAAAGUCACAAACGGCGAACAAGUGACUCGACGACUCGUCGACCUUCCCACACAAGCAACAUACAGGGUUUUCAACCACCAUCCCACGCCUUACCAAAUUAACCCUAGUUGCAAUCCUAUUUUCCAAUACUCUCCAGGCCAAGAAUACAGCAGAAGGCAAGGCUUUACACCUCCACAACCUACUGUAGAUCGGAGAGGACUCCCCAUCACUAACCCUCCUUACCUUGCUAUAAGCUGAGUUAACAGUAAAACUUUGAGACCCCUCAGCCUUCCAGACCCAUAUAAAUUGGUAUUUAAUCAUUAGCUACCAAAGUUUUAACUAUUUAUUAUUGUAUAUUCUAAAUUAGUCUUUAUUAAUCUUUUAAAGACUAAUUUAGAAUCUAAAAUAUUAGUAGUUAAGAUCUAGGUAUCUAAUUUAAAUAUUAAUUUAUAAAUUAUUUUAUAAUUUUUUAUUAAUAAUAAAAUUUAUUUUAAAUAUCAAUAAUUUUUUAAUAUCUAAAUUACUAUAUAUUUUAACCUUAAUAUAAUGAUUAGUUAUUUUUUAUCUCUAAAUAUAAUUUUUAUUUAAUAAAAAAAAUUUGCACAAAAUUCAGGAAAAGCAAGUGAAACUCUUUUUUUUUAAUAUAUAAUAUACCCAUUUUGAAAAUAAAGAAAAAGUAAAAGCAUAUAAAUUAAAAAUACAAUACAUUUCUAAUUUUUUGUUGGCAUAUUUUAUGGUGAUAAAAUAUGAUAUUCUUAAAUGAACCAAUCCUCAUUAUUGGUGAGAAAAUUAUAUACUUUUAUUCUAAAUUUUAUAUUUUAUUUUAUAUUAAUACCUCAUAUUAAUUAAAUAUAUAUGUUAAUUUUUUUUAUUCUUACAAGAAUUGUAAUUUUCGUGAGAUGUCAUUAAAAGAAAAUCAGAUUUACCAACACAUUAUUACUAAUGAAUCUGAAUCUGUAGAUAAAUUUAGUAUUUCUUACUGAUAUUAUCAACAUAUUUAAAUUCACAUGUAAAUUCAGCAUUAUUUACAAAAUAUUAUUCACAAAACUAAAUUUGUAAACAAAUUCAACAUUACCUACAAAUUAUUAUCCACAAAUUUUUUUUUAUCAGUAAUAAAUAAAUUUAAUUAAAAAAUAGAUACUUCAGGGUAUCUUAACCCUGAUACAAAACAACAUAUCUCUAUUUGUAGGUAAACUUUACAUUAUCCACGAAUUUAUAAUCAUAUAUAAAUUCAAUAUUAUUAUUAAUAUAAAUAUUUUUAUCAACAUGAUUAAUAAUACUAAUAUUUAUAUUUAUAUUAUUAUAAUAUUAAUAAUAUCAACAAUAUAAAUAAUAUCAAGAAUAUAAAUAAUUUUAAUAAUAUAAAUAAUAUUAAUCAUAUAACUAGUAUUCAUAAAUAAUAAUAAAAAGAUAAAAAGAAUAAUACAAAAUAAAAGAAAUAUAUAUGCAAGAUUAUUUUUGAAUCUAUUCACGAACUGGACUGGAUAAGUAUUACCCGUAGACUCAAGUUAGAUGAUAUUAUUUACUAACUCAAAUUGAUUACUGAAGUUUGUGGUAUUCUCUAUGAAUUAGAGUUAGUGAGUAUUACUUAAAAACUGAGUAAGUAAAUAAUAUUAUAAUAAGUAUAAUAAUAAUUAUAAUAUGAUAAAAGAAUUUAUUGGAAUGUAGUGGUUAAAGUUUUUUUUUUGUUAGUCAAAGUACUUAAUUUUUAAUUUUGAGUCCUUAGUAUAUGUUUUAAUGUGAAUUAUAUUUGAACUAUUAAAUGUAUUUAGAAGAAAAAAAUAUAUUACUGAUUUAUAAAAUAAUAUAUUGAUAUUCACUUCUAAUUUAAUUAAUCUAAGUGAUUAAUAUAAAAUAAAUAAUUUAUAUUAAAAAUAAUUCUUUCUAGUUAAUGGAUUUUUUCUGUAAAUUAAUCUAUGCUAUUAUUUAUCAAAAUAAUUUGUUCAUUAUUUAUAUUGAGAAUUUAGUUUGCAGUAAAAACAAUGUGAAAUAACGUCACUAGUGUUAGAAAACUUGUCAAAAUUCGAUUUUGAAAUAUUCAAAUUUUAUUUAAUUUUUUUUAUCCUUUUCAUUACUUUUUGAAAAAAAAUGGAAAAUCUUAUUAAGUCUAAUCCUAAGUGGAUUUCCGGAUUAAUUCAAAGUUAAUCAAGCAUAAUAAAUACGUAUACAGUGAUAAAUGAUGUGGUCACAGGUAUAUGAGAUUUUUUUAGAAAUGAAAUGAGUUUAUUGAAUAAGAGAAAAAUUGGCAUACCGAUAUUUAUUUAUACACAGUUAUGAAAUAUGUUUGAAUCUCCACCCCAUCUGUUCCUUCUGAUAAGAGGAUAAGAUAUUUGGAUUGUGAUAUCAUAUUUAAGCACCACUAUCACAUGUUUUUUGUCUUCCCCUCCCCCACUGUUUUAUGUCGUUGUUUGAUUUGUCAGUGCUUCACAUGUUUGUUGUUCUGUUAUUCACAUAUUUUAACUUUUACUUCAUCUCUUUAACUUAUCUUUGAACUGGAAGAAGGAUUUAAGAGAAUAGAUACAUGCAGAUUUAAAAGAAAAAAUAUGGACAAAAUAAUGUAUUUUGAUUAGAUUAUAUUAGACUAGAAGUAUAAAAAAAAUAUUGAAAUUUGUAAAUGAUAUUAUUAUUUUUUAAAAAAAUUAAAAUAUAAAAUAUAAGUUUAUAAAUUUAUUUUUAUAAUUAAAAAAUUAUAAAGAAUAAAAUAUAAAUAAUUUUUUAUAUUAAAAUUAAUUAAAUUUUGUAAAUUAUUUUUUAUACCAUAUUUUUGAAAAAAAUACAGAUUAUAUAACAUUAUCGAAACAUGUAAAAUUGUUAUAAAAAUAAUAUAGAAAAUUAUAUUCAUAUAAAUGUAAUUUUUAAAAAUUAAUUUAUUUAUAAAUUUUAGUUAUUUGUAAUUAGAAUAUUAUAUUUAGAACUAACUUUCAAAUAAAAUACAGAUUAUUGAAAUUUAGGAGAAAAUAAAAUUUAUCAGAAAAUAAUUCUUUGGAUUAAUAUUUUCAUUUUUUAAAAUAUUAUUUUAUUUUUAUUAAAUUAUAUUAUAUUAUAUUUAAUUAUAUAAUAAAUUAUAUUAUAUAUAAUCGUUUAUAUUAUGUUAAUUUUUUAAAAUUAAUUUUUUAUAACUUUAAUUAUAUUAUUCAUAUUUAGAUUGUAAUUUUUUUUAUCUAUAAUUAUUUUAUUAAUAUUUUUAUAAUUUUAGUUAUAUUUUUUUAUAUUUAUUGUAUGCGCAGUAGAACAAUGUAGAAAAACAUGUAAGGAUAAAAAAUAUUUAUUCAAGCGAUUCAAUGGUUUAUUUAAUUUUUCUUUACCAAUAAGAAGAUUGGUAAACAGUAUAACCCCACGUAUAUAUUCGCUUCUGUUUAUGAGCAAACCAGUAAAUCUAAAUCGAGAAUAUUUCUGUGUUUUCAUCUUUGUAAAUAGUAAAUAGUUUGAACCAAACUUAACAUUAGUUAAAAGGGUUUUUUAUGUUUUAAAAUUUCUGGUUUAUUAUUAUUUUUAAAACUUAAACCAUGGUUCAUACUUGUGAGGAUUGAAGGAAGAGAUAUAGGAGAAGAUGCGAUUAAGAAUGGAGGAAGUCGAAUAGAUGAUAAAUGUUUACAAUGGUGAGUGUCUAAAGAGAAAGUUAGUGAGACCAACAUUUCAAGUGUUUAGUAGGCUUGUAAAUAAGAAGAGACUUAAGAGAGAAUGAAUUUUGUAUUUAGAAUUUUCAAUCACAAUUAUAUCAAAUCCGAUUACAGAAUGUAUAUGCAAGAUAUUUAUAAGCAAACGAGAUAGUAUCUGUCGCAAGCUCCUUACAACUACACAUACAUCUACAAAUACUUGUUCUAUUACAAAUGUCUUAUACUUUAUUUAUUGUAUAUAUAUGGUGACUUUGGAUGGUACUCCAUCAAGAACUUUACAAUAGCUUGCGGCACAAGCUAUCCUUUUUGCCUAUAAAUACUUGCAUAUACAUUUUUGUAAUUAGAUUUGAUAUAAUUGUGAAUGAAGAUUCUGAAUACAGAAUGCAUUCUCUCUCAAGUCUCUUCUUGUUUUCAAGUCUAGAAGGCCAGUAGAUACUUGGAAGGUUGGCCUCACCAACUUCCGCUUCACACACCAUUGCCAACAUUUAUCAUCUAUUCGGCUUCCUCCAUUCUUAAUCACAUCUUCCGCUGCAUCUCUUCCUUCAAUCCUCACAAGUAUGAACCACGGUUCACAUAGGUGGAUCAUCGCACCUAAGAUCCUCAGGCCAAGCUAAGUACAUUCUUCCAAAAAAAAAAAAUUGUCAAUGUUGUUCUUCACAGUUCAUACUUGUUCUUGGCUAUUUUAUCACUUUUUCUUGUGUUUCCACCGUUUAUUCCUUGUUUCCACCGAUUGAAUUUUGUUUUUCACCGAUUAUCACUUUAAUAUUUAAAAUUUAUCAAUUUUUUGAAUUUCACCUACUCAUUCAAAAUUCUCUAAAUGAACAUUUUUUUCUUUAUAAUUAUUUUCAAAUAUCUCCUUGUAAUAAUGAUCAUUAUUAGUUAAUAAAUCAAAAGAAUAAAAUUUGAAACAUACUUUAGAGAAGUAUGAUUUACAACAAGAGUUCAAAGGUAGUGGAAGGAUAUUUGAGUCUCUUUAGUUCUUUUCAAGUGUGACAACUCCAAAAUUAAGAUCUUUAAAUUAACAUAUUAUUUAGUGAUUGUAAUAGGAAAUUUGAUUGGGUUUUACUCAAGAUUAAUGGUUGGAGAUUCGAACGCCAAAUUAUACAUGAGUAGUGAAUGUAAACUUCAUUUUAUAAGUCAAUUUUGUGAUGUUGAGCUAGACAUUAAUAAACUUAUUAAGAUGAUAUUAGACUUUAUUCUAACGAGAUAUGUAGAACUGCGUUCGAGAAGCUCAAUCUUUUAUGCGAUGGAGUAUAUUAAAGAUUUCACAUUAAUUAGAAAUAAGAACAAAUUAAUAUAUAUGAAUGAGUACAAAUUUCACCUUACAACAACAGUAAAAUCUUCUCUUUAAGUUGUUAUUAUAGUAACCAUUUCGAGUUCGAAAGAUAGUUAAUAAAUCAUAUGCAUCUCAUGAAAGUCCUUUCUUCUUUAGUUUUAAUUGAAUUGCAAUAAAAAUAUUUUUUAAAAUUUUAUUAUUUGGUUAUCGCUAUAGUUGUCGUUAUGUGAAGGAUUAUGGAUGUCUACAAUAUAGUGACAUUUAUAUUACUAAGAAAAUUAUAGAACAGUUUUUAAAAUAAAAUAUUAUAUUAUAAUAAAAUACUAAUAUUUAAGUGUGAAAUGAUGGUUUAAAAUAUCAUUUACACAAUGUCAUCUCAUUUCAAUAACCAAUGAUAAUGAAUCAUAUAAUAUAACAACGACAUCUGAAUAAGCAGUAAAAAAUACUUUGGAUAAAAGUAAUUAUUACCUUGAUUUUAUUCCUGACUUACACAACACUUUAUCAUAAGUUCUCUGGCUUACAACACACCCAGAAUACUUAUUCACUAAACUUCAACAAGAAGAAAAAAAAGAGAAACAAACAACCAAUUACACAAUCAUUGCCAUUCACGUUGGUAACAGAGAAUUUAUGGAACAUAAACAACAAUGGGGCUCCUUACCUGAUGAGUGCCAUCAUCCCAAGUCAAAGAAAAAGAAUCCAAGUCUGCAUUAAUGGUUCCUUGAAUCCUAAGGGUGAAGGACAACCUUUGACCCAGAGAUGUGAAGGUUAAAACAUUUGGUACUACUUGGAUGUUUAAAGAAGAUGGAUAUCCAGAUACUAUUGCCCUAUAUGUGGAUCUAGCUGAUCCAACAUUAGUGACAGUUCUACCAUAAGAGACACUGUUGUAACUUGAGCGAGCGGUUGCUAGAGCAAAAGAUGGGAGGUUAAG